rnacentral:lncRNA from 1 species
UGUGAUGCUAUGUGUGCACAGUUAACAGCUGUCAGCACUAGGGUCCCCAAUGCUGGCAUGCUGUCAACGGUGUCACCUUUCCCCCAACGUGAAGUUACUUAUCUUCAGAAUCUAUCAAAUCCAUUAUGGUGAUUAAUCAAUUAAUUCAAAAAUUAUGUAUCACUUUCUCACACGCCUUAAUUUUUGCAGCAAGAGAAGGCUUCAGCAAAAGCUACAACUGAGGGCUCAGAAGAUGUGGAUGCAAGUGGUGACGUACCUGUUCAGACGCCUGGUGUCCCACCCAAUCUCUUUGAAGAGAAUUUUGCAGAAUUGAAGAAAUGGGUUGAUGUGAAGUCCUCUAAGUACGGUACUCUCUUGGUCAUUCGUGAGCAACGUCAUGGAAGGCUGGGAACAGCGCUGAAGGUACUGUGUUGGGUGGCACUACCAACUGCCUCCAGAAAUCAGUAGUUUUUUUCAGUCGAGAUGCUUCUUAUUUUGUUAUAUCUUUUUCUUUAGCAUGUCCAAGAUGCUGGCAUCGAAAAUGGUAUUUCCUGCAAUAGUUGCACUAGUCCUCAUACUGUGCUCUUCCUCUAUUUUUUGCUUAAAACGUUCUUUCAAUUCCCGCUCUUGCUACCAAAGUCAUGCUGUCUAUUUGACUAAACCUCAAGUCAUGUUCUCAUGUACGCAUAAAAGUGUACCUGUGCACCUGUAUGGCGUAGUUAAGAAGACUUCGCUUAUUGUAGUCUUUUGUCCUGGAUGUUUGCAUAUCAGCUUCCAUGUAUAUACGUGGUUUUCUUUCAUUAUUUUAUUUUUAGUUUUAUGGAAAGGAACUCUGACAAAUUCACUUUUUACUUUCUUUCUGACCACAGAGCUGCUAACAAGCUUGUUUUUCUGUCUUCUCUCCUUACCUUUCAUUGAAAAGUGGCAUUUUGGCUGACUUAAAAUAAUUGUUAUUGCCAUUUGUGACUGCUUCUUGGGGAGUUCAUCUGUGAUUGAAAUAUUGCUUUUUGAGAUAAUCUCAACGUGAAAAACAUAUCACAGCAAUGGGUAUAUUUUUACAUGCUCUAAAAUGAUUUUGGUUUAGGUACUGAAUGAUAUGAUUCAAGAAGACGGUGACCCUCCGAAGAGGAAGCUGUUUGAACUAAAGCUGACUUUGGUCGAGGAGAUUGGAUGGAGUCACCUGUUAAGGUAUGAGAGAGAAUGGAUGCAUGUACGAUUCCCGGCAUGCUUGCCAUUGUUUUAAGGAUAUUUUAGUUUGUAUGUAUUCAGCGAUAAACUGUGUACGCAAAUAAAGCGUCUAAUCCACAAGGUGGGUGCUUAUGAUUUCCCGUUUACACUCUUUUCAGAAACUAUAAAUCUAGCAGUUUCACAUGCUAAAGUUUUUUGUGCACUUUUGUGUUACACAAAUUGCCCAUCUAGUCAUGAGCACUUUACCCUAUCAACUUGUCUCGACACUUGGUUCCAACUUACGACAUUACUUGGGCUAUUGAAUUAUAUUUUGCCGGUCGAGUGUUAGGAAUAGCAUAGCUAGGAUAGGUCAUUCAUGAAGGAUAAUCUGUCUUGUGACAGGAAUUUGCCAUAGAUUGCUUUCUGCUAUAUAACUUUAGGAGGUCGCGCUUGAGCAUAUUUCACGCUUGAGAAUUCAUGAUUUAUAAUGAUUCCGUCAAAUUCUAUUGGGCUUGUCGUCUUUCUCGGGACAUGAAUAAUUAAAAACAAAAUUAUUUAAAUUAAUUCAAAAUCACGAUAUUUUUCACUCUUAGACGACUUCAGAAGUUUCUGCUCAUUUACCCGUGAUUGUUUCUUUGUUGUGUUUGGCCAAUAUACCCCAUGGGAUGUUGCCUUCCACCGCAAGUACUGGGAGCCAUUGCGUCGGCUCCUUUUUGGAUAUGGUGCAGCUAGAUACAAUAUAAUACACGAUUAAAGUCCCAAAUGGGUCGUGUAAUGCGCCUAUGAUGCAUUGGCAUCAUUCCAUGUUUUACAAGGGUUCUGUACUAUUUACAUCUAAAUUUUAGCAAUCCAAUUAGUUGUUUAGUACACAACAAUGCUUUCAAUACGAUUGAUUCCAAAAUCGUUAAUGUACGAAGAUUUUUUUUUUUUUUUUGAUUAAGGUACAAAGAGAUUGGAAGAUAUGAUGAAAUCAUCAAAAAAAUGCUUUCCGAUUUUUACAAAAGUUUUCAUAUCUUGGAAUUUGGACAACAUUUGGAAUACCAUCAUCUUGAAAGUCCAAAGACGGAAAUAGAGAAGCUUAAGAAGCAAAUUCAACUCUUUGAAGAGGACAAAUUGAAACUUUCUAUUCAUUCCCAUGAAUUGAGUAUUCUCCUCCACCACUACAAAACAUUUCAAUUUUUGUUGCUCUUGCAGAAACUUCUACGAGAGCAGCAAAUUCACCCUAGAGAAUUGGGUUGCCUAAGGAAAGAAAAAGGAAAGAAAAAAGGGAAAGAAAAGAUUUUGAAAAAGAAGACUUCCCUAAAGGAGAAGCAAUACCAAAUGAUGUUAUUUAACCCGUCCGAAUGAUUCUUGAGAGAUUUGGGCAAUCAGGAAGAAAAACAGCCUAUCCUAUUGUCUUAAAAUACUAGAUUUAGUCUCCUCUAGAAUUGAUUCUUCGAUGAAUUUAGAUUCAGAACCAGACUCGAUUUCUCUUUCAUCUUCCUUCUCUUUUUUGAUCCCCGCUAUCAAAUCUUUUCCUAUUUUAUCGACCACUUCUUCAAUAUUCAUGGCCGAUCCUCCAGAUUAGAGGAUGGAUUCAAAUCUUUUUGAGUCAAAUGUUAUCCAACCAAAUAAUCCAUUCUAAAAUCUAAUUUCCGCCUCUAAACAAUUUUUUUACUGAUGAUAAUAUUCCAUAUUCCAAAUGAUCAAAAAGAUUUGAAAAGUUUCAUACUUGGUUAAGCACCCAAGCUCUCACAAAUCAUGACAAAUAGAUUUAUCAGGAGUAAGACCAAGUGUAACUUCUGCCUUUAGCAAACUUCGACCAAGCUAUUACUUUCCUCUGUCAUUUUUUCAUUGGCAAGUCUACUGACCUCCAUAAGCUCAAGAGAAGAGAGUUUUUUUGAAAGAAAAUAUCAUUCUCUCUAAAAAAAAGCAUCUCAAUAAGUAUUAUCAGGAAAUGCUCAAACUCUUCUAUGGCCUUGGAACGGAUGCAAACUUGAAACCGGUUUUUAUAGCGCCUAUAUUCCUAAAGAGUUAUCUCUGCAAGUUAAAGAGAUAAUUUCUUAACAAGCAAAUGAGAAUUGUGUAUAUUUUCUUGGGAGAAAUAUAACAAGAGAUCCAUUUGUGCCUUGAUGAUUUGUGUCUAAAGUGUGAAAUGAUGAAAACUUACCUCAAAGAUAAUUGAGAACUUGAUGGAGCUUGUUCACGUCAGAAUUUAAAGAUUAAGUGUUCCAAAAAAGAUUGUGAUGGCUCUUGUAGAAAAUCUUUUAGAAAGAAAAAGCAUUUCGAAAGGUGUUAGGUGGGAAAAUCCAAGUAUGGAUCUAAGCAAUUUCGGAGAAAGAAAAAAUGACGAUUUCUACGAAGAAGAAAAGAUCGCUCAAAUCACGAGAGAUCAACUUGAUAUUUCAUCUGCAACAAAAAAGAAGAAGUCAUUUAUCCAAAAAUUGCCCCCUCAGACGAAAAAAAUGUCAAAACCAUUUGAUAUAUCACGUUAAAAUUGAAACUGGUGUUUCACUUGAAAAUGAUGAUGUUGAAUCAUUAUUUUUCGUUGAUGAAGAUCCAUCCGAGCAAAUUCUUUUAUUAUUAAACUCUUAGUGAAACUAAUUUUGAUUCAAACUCUAAAGAUCUUUUCCAUAUAUCCAUCAUCUCUUUAGAACAAGACCAUAGUAUAUUUUCAAGUCAAGUCCAUUAUCUUCAUUUUCCUAUAAAAAUCCUUACCUCAAAACUUGUCAAACCCAUCACAGUCAUUGCUUUUAUGGAUAGUGGUGCAAGUUCUUCAAUUCUAGGCACAAAGAUUUAUUUUCUAAAGAACACUUGAAUUUCUGUGUUUGAUAUUUCAAUUAUGUCUCAAGAGAUACUUUUUCUACAAAUAUGCAAACUAUAUUAGUAACUAUUCAUUUUUUCCCUUAGUACUCUAUAACCACUAAAAUAUUUGGAUCUAAUCUCCCCAACAAAGAUUUGAUCAUUAGUUGGGAUGUCAUAACUCAAUAUCAGUUCUCUAAAUUUGUCAAUAUUUAAAGGUUUUUCUUUAUCUAGAUGAGUUUGCUAAAUUCGAUCAUGUAAAAGUUGUUAGAAUUUUGUUUAGAGUCCCAUUUUGAAUUAUCUUAGAAAUGUCCUUAUCUGUUGUGGAAAAACUCAGAGUUUUUUUUGUCUACCUCCCUUUAAAAAAAAAUGAAAAUAUAAACCCUAUUAAAGCGAGUCACAUGGGAAUGAAUCCGGAAUAUCUUGCUUCUGCUGGCCUUAUUGAAAUCUCGAGUUCUCAAUGGGCUUGUGAAGCUUUUUAUGUUAACAAACGAGUUGAGCAGAACAGAAGAAAAAUGCAACUAGUGAUAAAUUAUCAUCCCCUCAACCUUUUCCUUCAAGAUGACAAGUUUCCUUUACCCUAAAAAAAUUAAUUUUUGCUGGUUUAUCUAAAGCCCACAUUUAUUUCAAAUUUGGUCUAAAAGCCGGAUUUUGGCAAUUGGACAUUUAUCUUGAAGAUAGCCCCAAGAUAGGUUUUUGUAUUCUAAACCAGCAUUUUCAAUGAAAGAUCCUCUCUUUUGGCCUCAAAGUAGUCCCAUCCUUUUUUAAAAGGCCAUGUGUCGAAUUUUUCAGUCAAUCUUGUCAAGUACAGUAGUCUACGGUGAUGACAUCUUACUCUACCGUCUUGAUGAAGAAUUCACUGUCAACUCCUCGAGUAGUUUGCAGAUAUUGUAAAGAAAUAUAAUCAUGUUAUCUCAAAGAAAGAUUUGCAUAAACAUAAAUUGAAUUUUUUGGUAUGCACCUGAACUAGGGUACAUACUAUCCAGGGCCACACAUUACUUAGGAAUUGUUGAAAUUUCCAUGAGAAAACCUCACGAUAAACUCAUGAUAAAAGUAAGUUCAGUAAUUUCUUGUGAUAAUUAAUUAUUUUAGGGACUUUGUUCCCAACAUUGCAAAAUUGUUGAUUCAACUGCAAUCAAUGCUAAAGAAGUAUCACCCACCUUAGAGAAAAACCCAUAUUAGAGCAAUCGCAGAACUUAAGGAAAUCAUACAGACUCUUCCCCCAUUACAUAUUUCAUCCAUAGGAAAGAGAAUCCCCCAAAACUGAUGCUAGUGAUGAAUAUUGGGUGGCCAAACCGUUUGAAGAAAUUUAUGGUAAGCAACACUUCUGUGCUUAUAAAAGUGAAAAGUUUUCCUAAGUUAAUAUGCAUUAUCAUUCUACGUUAAAGAAAAUUUUGACGCUAAAAAAUGGAAUAAAAAAAUUCGAGUUCUAUCUUAUUGGCCAUCAUUUUCUAGUAAAAUUGGACAUGACAUCUUUUCCCUAGAUGAUUAACAGAAGCAGAUACCAAAUUCUCAACUACUUCGGUUGGCUAAAUAGCUUUCAAAAUAUUCUUUCGAAACCAAAUAAUUGCAGGAAAGAAGAACGUGUUUGCUGACUUUCUUUCAAGACCAAAGGCACAAGUAGAGAUUAAUAUGUACAUUAUAAGGCACGCUUUUCAUACUUUUCAUCACAUGAAAAGUAUGAGAUCAAAAGAAUGCGAGACUAGCCAAGUUUAGAUUACCCUCAAGAAAUUAUUGAAUAGAUAGAGAAUGACAGCCUCACUGAGAAUCUUGACAACCUCAUGUGGCAGUGCCAUAUGGAUCUAUUCAGACUCUAUGGAGACUCAAUUCUUUAUCCUUUUGAAUUAAACUCUAGAUAUCCAUUUAUACAUCAUUUAAUUUGAAAGGAAUGUGAUUUCCCUAAUAAACUUCGAUGGUUGUUUUGGUGAUAAGUACUUAACAAUUAUUGAACUUCUUACCAGAAAGUUCAUCGCCAACUUAAUAAGGAUAUUUGCGCUUGGCCAUAACAUUGAAAAGGAGAGUGAUAUGAACCCUUUGGCUGUACUUAAUUGGUUCUAUCCCCCAACUCAUUGGAAGUAUCUUUUCCAACAAGAGUUAGAACUAUCCAACCAGAAUCAGAAAUACACACUUUCAUGUUUCUUUAACGUCCAUAGGCUUUUGUACAAAAUAAUGGCAACAUUGCCAAUGCACCGGAAGGAGCAGGAACUACAACCUACAAACCUUAACCACACGUUACUUACAAAUCAUUUCCUAAUUCUGUUGGAUCUGUUAAAUACAACUACAGAGAACUUUGAAAAGCCUUGUGCCAAGAAAACAUGACCAUCCCUAAUAUAUCUCAUGGGAUCAUUAUAGCUUUGCAUUAGAAGCAAAACAAGCACUUGAAGAAUUCCAACAAGCAAAGGACCAAGUGAGGACACCUCCAUCACAAGAGUCAACAAGCAAAGGACCAAGUGAGGACACCUCCAUCACAAGAGUAAGAAAUGUCAGACACAAACGAUCCCACACAGGCAUCUUAAGAAUCUUAUGUUCAGGCAUCCUAUGCCCAAUGGGGAAGCCCUCACCCUAUGAUCAAAGAUCUUUGUCCUUAAUUCUUGGACUAGAAACAUCUCACUAUGCUUAACCAACAAAUUGGCCCCACUCAAACAUGUUUGCCGACAUUCUAGGACCCUCCGGGAUUUGUGUGGAAGCAUCAUCUUCAAGUGGAAUAAAUAUGUGGAAUGCCCUGAUAACACAAAGAAAGUCACCUAGAGCCCCCGACAUUAGAUUUUCAAAACUUGAACAAAAACAUGUGGAAGAACAGCUCACAAUACAUAGCUCUAAUGAUUCAGACUAUGACUACAACUCCCACGAUAGAAGAUAGGCCUGUAGCUAGGUCACCAUAGCAAAAUACUAUAGCAAUAAGUUAGGAAAAUCACUGGCCACAGUCACUGUUCAUAUCGUUUAGAAUAAAUCCCGACCGGAGUUUUUGGAGCCUCUGUUUGUUUCGAGACUUGUGAGCAUGGUCUUUGUUAUAUGUGACUUCUUAAUGCCUAUAAAAGGCAAUGCUGAUGUAAUGUGUUAGGCAGAGUCCCUUGAAGUAAAAUAUGUAUUUGUGAAAGCUCUCUCAAUAUCUCUCUAAACACUUAUUUUUUUCCAGCCUAGUAGGAUCCUUUAAGAAAUACAGCUUGACUAGUUACAAACGUUACCAUUCUGGCACCUUUGCAUGUCUCUAUGCUCUGAAAUAAAUUUUUGGAUAGUUUGCUGCUAAAAGGAUGUCCCUAAGGGCUUGAACAAGAGGUUCGCCCAUAAUGAGAAGGCAUAUCUACAACAACUUACUUAAUUUUUUAUGGUUCUAAAUAUAGGUCCCCUCAUGUUAAAAAUUAGGGAUUGAUCCCGAUUCCUAAAUAAAAAUGAGUUAAUUGCAUUAGGAACAUUUGCAUUAAUUAUUACAUUCAUCAUAUGGGCAGAAGGACCUAAAUGGAUAGUUCUAAGCUUAAUUUGGACUAAGCCCGUAGUGAAAGCAAGUUCGGCCAAGUCCAUGGACAUUAUUAAUGGAACCGAAAAUUGCCCAAUGCCAAGCUGGAAAAUUGAAUUAUAAGUACAUGGGUAAUGUUGGGAAACGAUGGGGGCCGUGUACACAGCAAUCUCGGCUCCAGUGAGAAUGGACAGAAGUUGGCCGGAGAGAAAGAGGAGUUAUCUUCUUCCUCGGGCGUGCGUCUCCACGACCACAACCGAGCUCCUCCAACUCCACUACCAGACGCUGCUUUCUUGCUGCAAUUUUCACACCGACGCCCUUGUUGCCGCACGCUACUGACCACCGUUGCUGAUCUUGCACCGGCAACCGUCACGCCUCCGUGUGAGUUCCUCCAUCACUAAACCGUGGCGCUUGCUGCUUUUAGGCUUCCCCCUGGCUGUUCCUCUGCUCACCGCCGCGCCACCUGACUGAGACGGCGUCAAUCCGUGAAGACGAAGCUGCCGCUGUGUCUGCCCACAACGAGGAGUCCACGCCGCAAGGGCUGCUGCUUUCCCGACGAGUUCCGGUUCCUCCGGCGUGUGCCUAAACCACACUGGCACCACCAGCAACGCUCUCGUUUGCUGUCCAACAUAGCAGAUUUUAUUGGCGCCUUGUUCAGAAUUUCUUGGUUCAGCCGCGAUUCUCGGUUUGAAUUUGGCUUGUUCGACACUUUUCCCUACAGCUUCUUCAGGGAACAUGGCCACCCUUGCAACAAAUCCCAAAGCCACGUGCCCUGGGGGCAGGCUCUCGACGACGUUGUUGGACUGUUCAAGUUGCUGUUAAUAUCAGUCCCAGCAAUUCACCCCCUGGGAAGAAUCGACAAUCUUUGAAGUCUUCGUAUCAUGUGCAAUGCUCCAAUAUAUGUUCGACACAUUUUGACACACAAUCAACAAGUGUUGGAAAUUUCUUGCGAUUCACUUGCAUCAUGUCCGAUGCUCCAAUACGUGUGCAACACGCAAUCAACAAGUGUCCAUGUGAUCAAUUCUCCCGACAUGCUUUGAUAUGCGAGUCUGGAAUUUCGACAUACAGUAGGUCGAUUUUAAAUUUUUUUAAUAAGCGUAAGCUAAUAUGUAAAUAUGCAAAAAAUAAAAUAAAAGGGGAGAAGUCUUCUCUUCCUACUCUCACUUCCCAUGACUUACGAUUUUUAACGUAACUUCAUUUUAAGCUUUUUUUUUACUUGUGAAUUUCAUAGUCAUAAGAAUAAUAAUUCAUCAUGUACAUGUAAAAAAAUAUAUUUAUAACACCACGUGCUGAAAUAUUUAUUUUUUGAGAGUGACGUAUUGGUGUUGGUACUAUUUAGCCCACCCUGGAAGCUCUCAUGAUGUUAACCACCAAGCGCCCCUCAUCGUGGGUCCUUGUGAUGCGACAACCAGUGCAAACACUUCUGCCAACUGAGCACCACCGAGCCACCUCACCGUGAGCAGCUCACUUGCCAAGCAUAGCCAUGCCACUGUGAAUCGCUGGCUGCGAGUUGGCCGCUGUGAAGCAUCGUCAAUCCCGAUUCUUGUGAUCUGUCAUCCAUCUGAAUUUGAAAAUGCUAUCCAAGCAAUAUCACGAAUUAGAUAGGAAUAUUCAUUAAUUUGAUAUUCAUUUUUUUUUUUUUUGCCUAAUUCGUGAAAUUGCAAUCUUGGUUGAAUCUUUGAAAGAUAAUACCAUAUCUAUGAAAUUCCUAAGUAGUGUUUAAAUUAGGAAUAUUUUCCCCUAAUUUCAUAAAGUGCUAUAGUCGUCAAUCGAUCUUAUGCUCGAAUACGAUUCAUCAAUAUAUUUCUAAAAUUUGAUGAUGGAUAUCUAUAUCCUUUAAAUCAUGCAUGAACUGCCUUUGCAUCUUCAAUAGGAGAAGGAGAUGGCAACACACCAACAACAAGCACUCUAUCUCAGACUGAGAUAAUUAAAAUAGGAAGUUUUAGAUGUAAAAGCAAUCUAUUUUUGUAUUGUGCUUUAUCACCAACUAAGUAUAACGGAAUCUCUUCUUGUGAAAGAGCAAAAUAUGUUUGGGACAAGCUUCAUGUCACCUAUGAAGGAAUGGACAGAGUUAAAGAAACCAAGAUAAAUAUCCUUCUUGAAUGAUAUGAAUCUUUCAAAAUGAAGCCGAGAGAAUCCAUUAGUGAAAUGUCUAGCAUAUUCUUAGAUAUUGUAAAUAAGCAAUCCAGUUUCGGCACCUAGGAUUGUGAACAAGUUACUGAGAAAACUCUCAAAGGAGUGGAACAAUGUCAAAAUCUCAAUAUGAGGGACUCAAACAAACAUGCCACUAAUAGUCGAUGAACUCAUUGGGACUCUUCAAUCAUAUGAAGUAGAACAACUCAAUGAUAAAGAUGAUUCAAAAGGUAAGAAAUCAAUUGUUUUAAUGUCUAACAUAGAUUCUAAUGACACAUACUCAUAAGAUGAUGAAGAUGACGAAAAGCUAGCUUUCCUAAUAAAGAAAUUCAGGAAACUGAACAAGAAGGGGAGAGAGUUCAAAGGGAAAAAGCCUUUCAAACAAGCUGAACGGAAGAAGACAUUUGAUGAAGGAGGAACAAGUAAGGAUGUAAUCUGAGUUGAAUGUAAGAAAUGUGGACAUAUAAUACAAAAUUGUCCUCUCUUGAAGAAAAAGAACAGAAAGUUUGAGAAAUUCAAGAAAGCCUUGAAAGUAGAAACUUGGAGUGAUCUUGAGUAUGAAGAAAGAAUAAAGUAUUUCUAUUCUCAUAUCAUUUUUGGUAUUUCAGGCAUGAUAAUGUGCAUAUACUUGACUUGAAAUAUUUUUUGGUAGGAAAAUGAGUUCUAACUUUUUUUCAAAAUUAUCUUUGAACAAAAAUAUAGGUGUCAAUAACAAAAUUUGGAAAAAAUGAAGCAGUCACGCUGUUUAUUGAGAAAAAUCUAGAGGAAAAGGGAUCUUUCCUGUCCAACAAGUAAAUUAGGACUUCAAGCACAUAUAUUAUGCGAUAAUGAUUAAAGAAUCAUAUGUUUUAAAUGAUUUGAAAUCCUUUAGUUUUUUUAGUAAAACGAGAUACAUCAAUGACUUUUGGGUUACAUAGGUUGAACUCCUCUUACUUCUUUCAUUUAUGAGCAACAUUAUAUUUCGAAUCGAAUCGCGAUUCUGUGUAAUAACAUGUCGGAAAUUACUUACCCUAGUGCCCCAUAGAAAUUAAAGUUAGGUGCAUAGAUAUAGAUGUUCCGCUCUUUAGGUUCAAAUGAUUGCCAGUCACUCACUGCCAAUGGUUGUUUGCCAAGGUGCAUGCUUCUUGUUUGUUUGGCCCCUUUGCUACCAUCCUCUUUCGGCGUUUUCUUUUCAGAAUAAGCAAUCUGGUCACCCAUUGUCGUUGAAGAAGCUCGAUGGUUUUUAACCUCAUCAUUUAUGUUGCCGAUUUCCUUGAGUCCAGGAUGUCCUGCGAUUGAGCUUUUUCUCUCAUUUAGAUGGCCCUGUAAUGAGAAAUAUUUCUUGUAACUCUUCAGUUUAAUUCCUGGGCAGGUUUAGUCCGUCACGGUUACAUAUCACCGUUCUGUCUCCUCCUACCGCAGCGUGUGAUAUGUGAUGUAGGAAGAAGGAAGAAAAUCUAUUUGGGCCCGCCGACCAAGGACAAGCUCCCAAAGGUAUUGCAUUCUGGUGCUUCUUCAAUUGAUGUUUCUUAAUCCUGGUCAUGGAACUAUUGCAGAAAUCCCAACCUGGGUCUGGGUUGGUCGGAGCAAUAUCUUUAUGGAAGAUAUGAAAUGCUGGUCAAGAUAUCGGACAGAGUCCCACAGAGAACCCUGCAUCCUACCAAAUCUCUUACACAGCGCCACCUAGAUAAGGUUCCUCAAGACCAUCCCAAGUUUUGUUUCUUCUUCGAUGCUUUUACUGAAGGUUAACUACUAAUUUUCUCCACAUCUGGCUGGUUGAAGAAGAGAAGCGGAAAGUUUCUUCAUCAAGGUGCACUAAAUCUGUCUCUGAACGCCUAAGAAAUGGUAGUUGGCGAUUGUGCCAUUGUGGUUAUUUUUCUUGGAUAGCAACUUUGGCUUAUGUAUAAAAUCCAUAGAUACCUCUAGCAAGCACUUUUACAGUGUCAUACUCGGAUAACUUCUUAUGUUUACAAAAUCAGAGAUCACUUUUACAUAUAUACAAAAGAUCUAAACUGUUACGUAAAUAAUGGAUAAAAAAAAAAUUGUUACAUACAUACAAGCGUCUAUCUAGUAUAAUUUUAGAUCCGUGCCCAUAAUUUAGAGCCACCUACUGAUUUUUUAUGGACUUAUAUCCACAUACAUUGGGUUCAGAGUCAAAAUUGAUGCUGGCAUCUUUUUUCAAUCUAUGACAACAAAACAUCACAAAAUACCCAUGGAAAAUUUGUUGACACUUGGAAAUCUUAUCAACUAGCGUCUCGAGAAAUUUAUGUUGUUAAUGUAAAAUUGCAAAGACCUGACGGGAUUCAUUGGGUCAAGCCCAAUAGAACUCGGCCCACACCUAUUAGCCAAAAUCCCCACCAUUCACAACAAGUUGAGGAUGAGCCAGAAAAACCAUCCCGACCAGCAAUUUUGGGCAGUUUCAAGGAGCACCGGUCCAAUUCCAAAUUUCAUUAAAUUGAAUUUUGAUCAAGGUUCGAGUGUAGAACCAACCAUCUGGAUUGGCCGAUUUUUUAUUUUAUUUUAUUUAUUUCUCUUGAAGAGAGGGGAAGAGGAACAAACACGCCAUUCCACGGACAAAAAACAGACAUUGAUGUAGAGGAUGGAGACGGAGAGAGAGUGGAGGGGAAAGCAUGUGAUGUUGUUGAAAGGAUUCUCAGAGAGAGGAUGGGAGGGAUCCCAAGAAAGAUGAAGGCACGGAGAAAAAAUAGUAAAAUAAAUAAAAUCAAAGAUUUUCACCAAAAAAAUAAAAUAAAGAUGUGGUCAGACUUCAUUGUAAAGCUUAGAGAGAGAAUAAGACAAAAGAAGCAAAGCAUAAACAGAGGAAGUCAAGAGUAGCCCCUUUUUCUUCUUGGGGUCAGGGUGGCGGUUGCAAUAAGUCAAAUCUCAGCUAAGAACUUUCUCAUUUCCCCAUGGUGCACCAGGCUAGGGGUGAGUAUGAUCUGGGUUGGGGCGGCCCACCCCCUAACCUUAGGACCAAUCCACAUAGUGCUGGUUUUCAAUUUUUGAGAUCGAGGACUGACCCUAUUGAGCUUGGGACUGAGGACUGGAUCGACCCAAUGGGUUCGGUUCGGUUUCAGAGUCAACCAUGGACCAAUUGAUAGUUUUUUAUUUUAUUUUUUGUACUCCUUGAAAAAGCAAUUGAGGAUCAGACUAACCCAAUAAGUUCGGUCCGAUUCUAAGGUCAACCCGGGAUUAACUAAUAAUUUUUUAUUUCGUUUUUUGUACUCCUUAAAAGGACAACUAAGGAUUGAACGGACCCAAUGGGUUUGAUGACAAGUGAGGUCAACUAAGAAAGGCAAGCCAUGAAGGUCGAGUGGGGUGAGUGUCAAUCAGAGUGAGCAUUGAGUGUCAAGCGGGGAGCAAUAAGCCAAGUGAGCAUCAAGUGGCGAGCGGCAUGAGUGACCCAAAGCGAGUGAGGCGAGUGUCAAGUGACGAGCAGAGAAGUUGUUUCUUUCAAUUUUGGCAAAUAAAAAACUAAGGACAAAUUUUUACCAAAAAAGAAAAAAAAGAAAAAAAAGAAAAGAAAACUAAGGAUAGAUAAGACAAAAGAGAAUGAGUAUUAAAGGAAGAUGCCAUAAGGAGCUGUUUAUGCUCUUUUGGAUGUUGUGAAGAUUCCUCAAAAAAACAUUUUCCUCAUUUGUAAAUUAUAACAUUGACGCUAUAAAAGACGUUAAAAAUCUAAAUUAUUAAAAAAACAAUGUAAAAUUAUUUGAAUUCCUCAUUAAAGAGUUGUUUAAUGUUGUUGACGCUGUUUGUUUUAAGAUUUUCUCUAUAUAAAAAAUUACAAAUAAUAUAUUAGAUAUAUAUUAUAUAACCCUAAACUCCCAAGACUGAAGACCAACCUAACCCACACAGUAUUGAUCCAAGAAUCCUAGGACCAAGGAUCAACCCAGUCUCCCUAGGAUCCGAACCAGGACUAGCAGGGUUGGGUCGGUCCAGGGUCGAUCCAGGAUUGACCAUGGGGACCGAGGCUCAACCCUACGUGAGGCCAUUCGAAGCCUCUCUGUCAUCAUCAUUUCCUCUGAAACUUCUCUCAAAGUAUCUCUUGGAAGUUGCUCGAGUAUGAGUCUUCGUCUUUCUUAGAGUAUCUCUUUGUAGAUGCUCAAGCCUUGUGAUAGAAUUGUGGAGUUCAAUAGAGGAAAAUAAAAUUCAAGCGUAGAAAUAAUUUAUUUUAUACAGUUAUCAAUUCUAUAAUAGCAUAUAUAUAAUUUACCCUACAUUCCUGCUAUAUAUAGAGCAAUAUCUUUUGUAGUUGUAACGCUAAAACUUGUAACCCUAGAGCUUGUAGCACUGAUACAGAUGGUGGAAGAUUGUCUAGUGUGGCACUGUGAUUUUUCUCUUUCUUGAUUUCGAGAAAGGUUUUCCACGUAAAAAUUCUCGAUUGUUUUCUUCUCAAUUUUUUCUCUUUAUAUAUUUGUGUUCCUAACAGCUGGUAUCAGAGCUAGGUUUUGGCAAAAUAGUAGGAAGGAAUAUGGAUGAAUGGAAGGUGAAGAUUGAUCGGUUCAAUGGCAAAGACUUUGGUUUUUGGAAAAUGCAGAUUGAGAAUAUGUUGUACCAGAAAAACCUGCAUCAACCUCUGUCUAGAGAGAAACUAGAAUCUAUGAAUCAAGAAGAGUGGAGAUUGUUAGAUUGACAAGCUCUGAGUUUGAUUUGUCUCACGUUGGCACGGAACAUUGCUUUCAACAUUGCCAAUGAGGCGAUAAUGGUGGAUUUGAUGGUGGCGUUGUCCAAUAUGUACGGGAAGCACUUUGCAUGAAACAAUGUAUAUUUGAUGCAUCAUCUUUUCAAUUUGAAAAUGGACGAGAGUGCUUCCAUGACAGAUCACAUCAAUGAAUUUAAUAUGAUUACGACUCAGUUGAGUUUGAUGGAUAUCAAAUUCGACGACGAGGUAAAAGCUUUAAUUUUAUUAUCUUCUCUACCUGAAAGUUGGAGUGCAACUAUGACUAUAGUGAGUAGUUCAUCUAGAAAGAAAAAAUUGAAGCUUCAAGCAAUCCAAGAUUUGAUUCUUAACGAGGAUAUUUGCAUAAGAGAAUCGGGUGAAUUUUUGGGUGCUACCUUAAAUAUUGAAGGUAGAGGAAGAAGCAAUCAACGAAGGCGGAACCAACACUCCAGUAGAUCAAAGUCCAAAGGAAGAAGCAAAUCUAGACCUCAUGGAGAAAUAAUUUGCUAGAAUUACGAAAAGAAAUGCCAUCUAAAACGAGGUAGUAGAACCCCAAAGAAGAAAUUUCAAUAUCGAGAUCGAAAUCAAGAUAAAAAAAAUCUAUGAAUGUAACUCUUGAAAAGAUGCAUAAUAGUGAUACUUUAAUUUUGAGCAUUGACAGUCCAAUUGAGUCUUGGAUUCUUGACUCAAGUGCGUAGUUUCACUCUACUUCAUGCAAAGAAUUAAUGCACAAUUUUAUUACUAGACAAUUCGGAAAGGUUUAUCUUGUUGAUGAUGAACCUUUGGAUAUUAUUGGAAAGGGUGAUGUUUAUAUAAAAUCUACUAAUGGAUAUCAAUGGAAGUUGUAUGAUGUCAGAUAUGUUUCAGGACUUAAGAGAAAUCUAAUCUCUAUAAGUCAAUUAGAUAGCACGGGGUAUAGAACUAUUUUUGGGGACGGCUUUUGGAAAAUAGUUAAAGGUGCUUUGAUCGUAGCACGGGAAACAAAGUCAGGAACGCUUUACAUAACUGAAAGCAGUAGAGAAACAGUAGCAAUUGUUGAGUUCGAAGUUGAUUAUAAAUUAUGACACUACAGGCUUAGACACAUGAGCAAAAAGGGGAUGAAUUAUUAGCAUCUAAGGGAAAAUUGCCUAAUCUGAAGUCCAUAGAUAUUGCUCGAUGUGAAGAUUGCGUUCUAGGCAAGUAGAAACGUGUUGGUUUUUUGAAAUUUGGGAGAGAACCAAAGAAAGGAAAAUUAGAGUUGGUGCAUACAAAUGUGUGGGGACCAGCUCCUGUGAAUUUUCUUGGAGGUUUACGGUAUUAUGUCACGUUCAUUGAUGACUCCACCAGAAAAGUAUAGGUUUAUUUUUUGAAAAAUAAAUCUAACGUGUUGCUACUUUUAAGAGAUGAAAAGCUGAAGUGGAGAAUGAAACUGGCUUGAAGAUCAAAUGUCUAAGGUCUGAUAAUGGUGUUGAGUAUGAUAGCAAGGAGUUCAAGCAAUUUUGUGCAGAGAAUGGAAUCAAAAUGACACGAACUAUUCCCAAUAGACCGUAGCAAAAUGAAAUUGCUAAAAGGAUGAAUAGGACUCUAAAUGAGCGUGCAAGAAGUAUGAGGUUGCAGGCAGGAUUACUCAAGACAUUUUGGGUGGAUGCAAUUAACGCAAAAACAUAUUUGAUUAACAAAGGACCUUUAAUGCCACUUGAUUUUAAGUUACUAGAAGAAGAAUGGAGCGGAAAGAAGGUAAAUCUCUUGCAUCUAAAUUUAAUUGUGUUUUGUAUGUCCACGUAGAUUCUGAAAAUAGAGAUAAGCUUGAUGCAAAAGCUAAUAAAUGUUUCAUUGGAUAUGGUUCUGAUUGUUUUGGUUAUUGAUUUUGGGAUGAACAAAAUAUAAAAAUAAUAAGAACUAUUGAUGUUACAUUCAAUGAAAAUAUGUUGCAUAAGGACAAAUCUAUGCCAGAAUCUAGUGUGAAGAAACAAAUGAUGGAGAAUAGAGAGAUUAAAUUAGAGGAGGCUUCUAAAAGUAAUCUCAUUGAAAUUCUUGAAACUAUUGUUGUUGAUUCUAAUAAAAAACCAGAACAAGAAUUACAAAUACCUACACCCACUUUGAGAAGAUCUAGUAGAACACCUAAACUUGUACAAAGAUAUUCUCUAUCAUUGCAUUAUUUGCUUUUGACUAAUGUUGGCGAACCAAAAAAAAAAUUUGGAAGUAGUGCAAGUUAAAGAUUCUAUUGGGAGUUAGCAUUGUAGGAUGAGUCAGAUUCACUCGAGAAAAACAAAACUUGGGUGUUAACUCAAUUACGAAAUGGGAAGAAAGCAUUGCAGAACAAGUGGGUGUAUUGGGUCAAAGAAGAACCUGAUGGCAAUAAAAGGUACAAAGCGAUGUUAGUAGUAAAAUGGUUUCGGCAAAAGGAAGAAAUUGAUUACCGAAAGAUUUUUUUCACCUAUUGUGAAAUUGACUACUAUCGGGUUAGUAUUGAGUAUUGUUGCCGUUGAGAAUUUACACCUAGAGUAGUUAGAUGUUAAGAUUGUAUUCCUCCAUGGCAAAUUGGAGGAGGAUAUUUACAUGAUACAGCCAGAAGGUUUUCAGGUUCUUGAAAAAGAAAAUUAUGUUUGCAAAUUGAAGAAAAGUUUGUAUGGCGUGAAAUAACUUCUAGACGGUGGUACAAGAAAUCCGACAUUUUUAUGUGUGGAAAUGGGUUCACUAAAAGUGAUAUGGAUCACAGUUAUUAUUUCAAGAAAUUUGAUGACUGCUAUAUUAUUUUGCUAUUGUAUGUGAAUCAUAUGCUCAUUGCAGGAUCUAGCAUGAGGGAGAUCAACAUACUAAAGCAACAAUUGUCAAAAGAAUUUGAGAUGAAGGACUUGGGUAUAGCGAAUCAGAUUCUUGGGAAGAGGAUCAUGCUGGAUAAUUCCAAAGGAAUUAUAAAAUUAUCUCAAGAAAAAUACAUCAAAAUAGUGUUAGAUAGAUUUUGAGUCUAGAAUGCAAAGCCCGGAAAUAUACCUUUAGGAAGUCACUUCAACCUCUUAAAGAAGCAAUCACCGCAGACAGGCUAAGGUGAUUUAGUUUAAUGUAAGCUAUGGUAUGUUGUUGACCAAACAUAGCUCAUGCAGUGGGAGUUGUGAGCAGAUAUAUGGCAAAUCCAAGAAUAAAGCAUUGGGUAGUUGUAAGUAAUUAUUAAGAUACCUGAGAGGCACUUAAAAUAUAUCAUUAUGUUUUAUGAAAAAUGGUGUAACUUUACAAGACUUUGUUGACGCAAAUCUUGGUGAUGACUUGGACAAUAGGAGGAGCACCUCGAGUUAAGUUUUUACCAUAAGUGGCACUACAAUCAUUUGGAUGUCUAGACUUCUAAAGUGCAUGUCUCUCUCAACUAUUGAGGCAGAGUAUGUUGCUAUAUUUGAAGUUGGUAAAGAAAUGAUUUGGUUGAAAUUUUUUCUAAAAGAGAUAGGCAAGGAACAUGAUAACAAUGUUAUUUUCAGUGACAGUCACACUGCUAUUUGUCUUGCAAAGAAUCCGGUAUUUCAUUCAAGGAUAAAACAUAUUGAGUUAAAGUAUCAUCAAAUUCAUCAAUUGAUAAAUGAUGUGACUUUGUCAUUGAAGAAGAUUCCUAGUAUAGAAAGGUUGUGCAUUGCCUUAGUUGGCCUCCAUAGUAAGUGAUGAGGGAUGCCACCGUACUAGGACAAUUUGGGCUACAAAAAUAAAGACUAUGAAAUAUUAUUGCUAUAUAUAUAUAUAUAUAUAUAUAUAUAUAUAUAUAUAUUUUGAAAAUCAGCCUCCAAGUGGGAGAUAAAUAAAGUUGUGGAGUCUGAUAGAGGAAAAUAAUAAUCAAACGCAGAAAUAAUUUAUUUUAGACAGUUACUAAUCCUGUAAUAGCAUACAUGUAAUUUUCAUAUUAAUUAUGUAUGCCCUAGACUCUUAUUAUAUUUUAUAGUUGUAACGCUAAAACUUGUAACCUAGAGCUUGUAACACUAAUAUUGAUAGUGAAAGAUUGCUUAGGGCAGCACAAUGGUUUUUCUCUUUUCUCGAUUUCAAGAAGGGUUUUCCACGUAAAAAUUCUCGCUUGUUUUCUUCUCUAUUUUUUCUCUACAUAUAUUUGCGUUCCUAACACCUUGGUCUUCUUGGAAACUCUUCCCCCCUCUCACGAGUCCUUUCAAGAACAUCAUGCUCUACCCCCUUUCUCUAUCUCCAUUCUCUAGAUAUAUACUUGUUUUCCUGAUUACUGAAAGGAAGAGGCCGAACCUUUGUGUUUAUUUUUCUUCCCGUCACUGCAAGCAAACUGUGCAGUGCCGACACCUAUAGAUCUUCCCUCCCCAUACUUUGAAAAAUCUUGCAUCCUAAGUAUGACGUUAAACGGUUUCAUUUCAGGCUUGUCCGGACCUGAGGAUCUCUGGGAUGUAAAACCUCUAGGAGGACAUGGUAAAGAGCAAAUAGUAUAUCAAUUGAAGAUGCGAGGCCUGCGGGCAUGGUCCCUUAAAUAAGGAAAACAUCCUAGCGGCCACUCCAUCAAAUGGAGACAGGCGCAAGAGGCGGGAAGAAAUUCCCCUUCCUUCGUGAAGUCACCCUUCAACCACUUCAAGGAUCCAAAGAAGCUCCUUUAUAUCCACAGAUGCACAAACAACCCAAGUCAAAGAGAAUAAGAAAACAAGGACAUGCCCACCGAUUGUUUUGACCCGCCUGGCGACCGCCGGUCGGUCCAAUUUCAAGUCUAGGCAGGCCGGUUCCAAUUCCCAGUUUCGGGAAUUGACCAUCCUGAAAUCGAUCAUCUUUAACAGCAAGACACUUGAUGCCCACGGGUACAAUCAUUUGGGAAAAUUCUAAAGAAAGAAAAACCCUAUUUUAUUUUCAUUGUUAGGGUGGAUAAGAGGCGGAAGACGGGUUCUUUUAAGAGGGGUCUUUGACUUUCAAAGGGAAAAAGGACCCAUUUUUUUGGCCCAGCUCUCUUCAUCUUGAUCCGAAAGGCACAAAUUUUGGGGGACUGCGAUCUUUAUUUUCGUUCUCCUGUGGUACCAUCAAGGCAGUCCAGUUGUAGCCAAGGGAUUUCCGGCACCGUUUGUUUUGGUCCCUCGUCGUGAACUACCAACCAUAGCUAUAGUCGGCGCUCCUCUGUUCUCCCCUGUUUUGCGGCCAUAGAAGGCAAAGAGCUCGAAUCACGAGUACCGUUGUCAUGCUGGCUCAGAUCUUAGCAUUUAAUGGUCCUUGAAGCUUCUGGCCUUUAGGCAUCAUCAAUCUCAAGGUGGCUCAAGGUGGGUAGGUUUCAGACCUAUACUUUAUUACAUUAUAAUCAAUUUCCUCUUUUUGAAUCAUGUAUCCUAUCCUACCUUAUUUUUUCAGUCCAAUUCUAGGUCUAUCUUUUUUGCACUAGAACCUAUUUUGUAUCCAUAUGAUAUCACAGCUUCGAAUUUUACAUAAAUACGCGAUAAAAUAACAAUAUAAUCAUCAUAAUUUGUAAUUAAGCACAUAUAAUUAAUAAGUACAUGAACUUUUUUACUAAACGAAAAACUAAAAAUCCACAAAUUCCUCAACGGCAAUGAUUUCUCUCAAUGUAUUGCUUGGUUUGUUUUUGGAGCCAUUUGUCAUCUAAUAUGGAAGACGCGAAACAACAUCAUUGAAAAUGCAUCUUGUCAAAGCUGUAAAGGACAAGGCUACCUGUUCAGCCAUGUUGCAAAUAUACCAAGGAACCGAAGGAUGCAACGAAGUUGGGGACUUGACCCCUCUAUCUUUUCUUCUGAGGUGUCAGAUCUUUCCUUGUAAAGUUGCCUGAGGGUUGCCACUGUUUUGGUUUCCCCUCUUUCUCCUUUUUCGCUCGAUACCCUUCCACUCGACUCGUAAUGACUUUGUCACCAUGAGUGCAAGUUUUGUUGGUGCCAAGUUAUCUUUGUUGUAAAGUUCCUUUUGGUUAAAAGUCAAUACUAAUCUUACCUUACCAAAAAAAAAGAAAAAAAUCCACAAGACCAAUUAUCAUAAACAAAUAUAACAAGGCAAAGUAAAAAUCCUAACAUUGCAUAAACAUUAAUAGUAAAUAUGGGUCUAAUAUUAGUCUUGUUCCCACCAUUACUUUUAUCUAAAAUGAUUAACAAAUCUUUCUAACACUAGUAAAAAUCAGUUCCAAAACCAGUCCAAUUGGUAUGAUUCCUCGGUGGGCUUUACUUAGAAUCGGGAAAUGGACUGGUUUCAACUGGUUCUCAAAAAAUGGAACCAGUUCAUGGAUCGGUUCAAACAAGAACCUGUUCAUGGACCUAUUUUCCGAAUGAUUUAGUCCGGUUCCUAAAAAACUCAAUCCGGUUGCACACCCUUACUGGCCGCAACCUAGUCUCCCGUUGCAGCCUCUUCACGCUCAGCUGACCAGGUAAUCUAUCACUCUCUGUCCUGCCCUGUUUUGAUGAGCAACGCUUAAUACAUUCCCCGACAAUAUAAAAGCCCGUUUCCACUUAUCAAAAACAUUAAGCUGGUUUCAGACAGGCAAAGACUGGAAACCGAAGGGCUUAGUCAAAACUUUCUAACCAAGAGGCCAACACCUCCACGCAUUCCGAGGCAAAGUUUAUUUGGUGCCUCAUUUCUGCGCAAUGAACUCUGAUUUAAUAUCCGCAUGUCAGCUGGGUAGGUCUGGAGGUCCAGUCAGUAGGAUUUUUUGGAGCACCAUUUUUGUGCUUUAUGUUCUAUUUUCCUUAACUGAUUAUGCUGUAAGCUAUAUUUCUUUCUUAAAAGAAUACAAGAGAUGAAUGAGUUUACUUACGUUUUAUGGUGCUUUGCAGAUCAUUGAUGCAGCCGAUGAAGUUAUUGAUAGCAUUGACAGAGAUGCCUUGGCAAAAUAUUUGGCAUUUAAAAGUGAUCCAGAGGAUGAGGAAGAGGAUGCAGAGAUUUUUAUCUACCGAACCAUGCAGCCACUUCCACUUUUUUAGAAAAAAUUCAAUGUAAUUGCUUGGAAGAAGUAUCAAGCCCGCUCUUAUAAGCUCCUGGUAGGUUUUUAACCGCUUCUUGUUACACUGUCAAAUUAUGAUGCUCCAUGUUCUCUUGCUCGAUAUCUCAUGGAAUUCUUAUUCCAAAGCAUGAAUUUUUCAUAUUAGCUUGAUUCAUUUUGCGUAGAAUAUUAAGAAGACAAUGUAGACUGCUCGGGAUCAAUUUGCCAAAGCUCUUUACCAGAAGAGGUUAGCAGCAGUAGCAGAAAUCGAGUUCGUCAAUGUAACGACAACUGAAAUCUGUUCCUAUGAAUAACAUUAGUAGCAUGCAGUCCUCCAUAUUAUUUACGUGCAGUCCUAAUAUUAACGGCUAGAAUCAUGAAGUAUGUGAAUUGAGAUGGUGCUGCAAAUGUGUGCUGCAUUACUUAUAAUUUUACACCGAGUGCUCGUUCCGUUCAAAAUGUUUCCGGAAUGAUAAUAUUUGUUACCUCUCCCCCAACAUGAAACCAUUAAUCUUCAGGGUCUAUUAAAUUCACUGUGUUGAUGAAUCAAUUACGUUGCUCUGAGCAAUUCAAAAUUGCUCAUCACUUUCUCUCACCCCUCUAAUUGUUGCAGGACGAGAAGGCUUUAGCGAAAGCUACAACUGAAGGCCCACAAUAUGUGGCUGCAAGUGGUGAUGGUGAUGAACCUGUUCAAAGCCCGGGUGUCCCACCCAAUCUCUUUGAAGUGAAUUUUGGGGAAUUGAAGAAAUGAAUUGAUGUGUGUUAGAAUAUUUUAAAAAUUCUCCUCUCACCCAUCCAUCGUCGUCGGUGAGGCUACGCAUAUUGCUUCACCAUUAUUGAUUUCAACUGCAGCAUGAGUGACGUUCAGAUGUUGAAUUGAGGAAUUGAUUCCCACAUUAUGACAUUUCUUAUGAGAAAUCAACUUGUUACAAUGAGACCCAAUAUCGUGAUCCGAUCUUGUGAGGCUUGUGAUAUUUCUUUGAUGGUGCAAAUCUCCUCAAAAUCUAUGGAGAUUUGCACCAUCUAUAGAUCAAAGAAACAUGACCGUCUCACAAGAUUAGAUCACAAUAGUGCAUUUGGUCUCAUUGCUAACAGGUCGAUUCUCGUGUGAAAUGUCAUUAGUAGGGGAAUUAAUCCCUCAUUCAACAUGUGUAUGUCAUCUGUACUACGGUUGAGCUCCAUAAUGUUUAAGUAACUGUAAGUAGACUCAUGACGAUGAUGAAUAUUGGAGAGAAGAAUUCUCUUUGACUACGCAAGAAUGAGGUAUUGAUAUCGGUAAAAAAUUUGCAAGAAGUUGUACCUAAUGCUGUAUGCAACCUACUUAUUGGCAUCUUCGCUUUAGAGUCAUGUGACCUCAAUUAAUUAUAAAAAAAGAAAAAGCAACCAGCUUUUGUUCAUAAUUUCUUGAUUUGACUUGUUAUCCGGUCUAAUUACAUGUUAGUACUUAGCACGGGAAGGGUUUUUCCAUGAAUGGACGAUUAUCCAUUUAAUUUUUAAUGAAUCCUAACUGUUAGUUAUUUUCUAUGCUAAGUUAUAUAUAAAUAUGUAGAAGAAACAGCAUAACGAUAAAGAUAGUUUUUUUUUUUAAUAAAUUCCAAAGAGCAAUUGGGUUGAAAUAAAAAAUAAAAAAAUUUGGGUCCAUCAUCUUAUCCUAUGACAAACAUAAAUUAAUUCGAUUGAAAAUGAUAGGAUAGAGAGUCCGUAUCUAUUCUGAAUUUUGUCAUGAUGAGAAAGGGACCAUCAUGCAAGGCCUCGGAAUUGGCUAUUUCUCGCAUGAUAGGGUAAACAAGGCGAAAAAAGAUACCUCCUGAGCAACGUCAGGAGGCGGAGACCGUUAUGGUACAGGCGAUUUAGGAGUAGUAAUAAAGUUCAAAAUGAUGCUCUUACCAUUGGAAAGUAAUAGUGCGCUUGCUCGGUAUGGUAUGCUACUAGAUAUUAGUACUUGACAUAAAGUGUUUUUGGGAAUUUCAAAUUUCAUAGUAACUCAACCCAAAGUUUAGUGUGGGCAAUUUUGAAAUGAUGACCGCUCAUUAAAGUAAACGGGAAUCUGGUAGUGUUUCAGUUCGAUUAUGACAGGCACUAUCUCGUUUCCACCUUUACGUGGCAUUUUGUAGGUCUAUGGUUGCUUGCAUGCCGUCACACGCGCGAUUUUAGAUUAAGAACAAUCAAACCCUAUUUCUUUAAAAAUAUUUUAAAGAAAUUGAUUUGCUCAAUCACUCUGGGAAAAGAAACCGUAUCUCUAACAAACCAUAUUUCCAACACUCUCCCGAGCUUCCUUAAUAGAACAUAGAGGUUUGGUGAAAAUAUAUAUAGGAUAUUUUGUAAUUCCUAUUGUUUGUGUCUUGAUUAUUCAUUCUUAAAUUUUAUUUCAAGUAAAAUGACAAUCAAUCUCUAUGUGUUUCAUUCUUUUAUGGAUUAUCAAAUUUGCUACAAGUUUGAGAGCAAUAUCAUUAUCACAAAAUAAGGUCAACGGCCCUUUUACCCGUAAGCUGAGAUCUUGAAGCAUCCAAACUAUUUCACAAACUAUAUUGACCCUGAUUUGAUAUUCAUAUUCAAAUGUUUACAAUAAGAUUAUUAGUUGUUUUUUUUGUUUUCCAUAAAAGUGAUGAGUCUUCCGACUUAAUACAAAAUUCAAAAAUAAACUCACUGCUGAUGUGACAAGUGGCAUAAUACAUGUCAUGGUAAGCAAUCAUCUUCAUUUUACAAUCUCCAUAUAUUUUCAGGUAUUUCACAACUUUUGAUGUUGCAUUCAUGUGAGAUUGCUUUGAAUUAUGCAUAAAUUGACUGUGGAUCUAUGUAGCAUAACAUAUUUUAGGUCUAGUCAAAGUAAAAUAGAUGAUUUUUUUUUAAUAUGAGUCUCUCAUAGCACAAUGGAUCCUUGAGUAAUGGAUCCUCACCUAGACAUGACAAUCCACAUCAUACCAAGUGCUCAAAAUACGGUUCUCUCUUGGUCAUUCGUGAGAAACAUUGUGGAAGAUGGGAAAAGUGCUAAAGGUACUUUGUUUGGUGGCACUGCCUACCCAAUCUAGAAACAAUGUUUGUAGUUUUUUCCCAGUUGAGAUGCUUCUUAUAUUGUUAGAUUUUCUUCUUUAGCAUGUCUAAGAAAUGGUAUCCCCUGAAUUAGUUGCUCUGGUCCGCCUGCCGUGUUCUUCCCCCAGUUUUUGAACCUUUUUUCACUUCCCACUCUCGGUACCAAGGCCAUGCUGUGUAUUGGACAGAACACCAAGUUAAGUUCUCACGUAUUUAGAGAAGUGUACAUGUGCCACCUGCAGGGUGUAGUUAUGAAAGAACUUCGCGUAUUGAAGUUAGUCUCAUGUCUUGGACGUCUGCAUAUCAGCUUCCAUGUUUAGACGUGGUUUCCUUUCGUUAUUUUUUUCUUAGUUUUAUGGAAAGGAACUCUGACAAGUUUACUUUUUCUAUCCUUUCUUUUUUACCAUGGAGCUACUGACGAGCUUGUUUUGUUUUCUCCUCCAACUACCUUCCGUUGAAAAGUGGCAUUUUGGCCGACUUAGAACAUUUGUGAUUUCCAUUUUGCGACUUCUUACUGGGGAGUGGUGCUCAAUUGAAAUAAUGCCUUUGGAGAUUAUCUCGACGUGAAUGGGUACAUUUUCACAUGCUCUAAAUGAAUUUUGGUUUAACUAUUAAAUGAUAUGAUUCAAGAAGACUAUAACCCUCCAAAGAAAAAACUGUUUGAACUAAAGCUCACUUUUACUCGAGCAGACUAGACUGAGUCACUUGCUAAGGUAUGACAGAGAAUGGAUGCAUGAACUAUUCCCAGCAUGCUUGCCAUCGUUUUGAGCAUGCGUUGGAUUUACGUAUUUAACAAUGAAUUGUGCAAGCAAAUUAAGCGUCUAAUCCACAAGAUGGAUGCUUAUGAUUUCCCAUUUACAUUCUUUUCAGAAAUUAUAAGUCUAUCAGUCUAAUAUGCAAUGGUUUUUUUUUUACAUUGUUAUGCUAUGCAGAUCGAUUGGUAUUCAUAGCAUGAAAGAUAGCAUCUUUGCAAAGGGUAUUAAGUUGGAAUUCUCCAUGAGCGUGCAGUUUAACAUCACAGAAGUCUUUGUGUUCGGUUGAAUGGGUUGACGUGUUUUUUUUUCCUUAAAAAUGAAUCUUUCCUCAUUGUUAUGGGCUCUUCGCUUAUCAUGACUUUAUGCUCUCAAAUUGCGCAUCUAAUUAUUAACACUAUCAACUUGCCUUGACCCUUGGUUCCCACUGUCGACAUUAACUGGGCUCUUGAAUUAUAUUUUGCUGGUCGAGUUUUAGCAAUAGCAUAGCUAAAUUAGGUUUUGCAUAUUAAAUCAAAAGUCCGCAUAUGCCAUUCGUGAAGGAUUGUCUAUCCAUCUUGAGAUGGGUUUUUGCAAUAAAUUGCUCUUUGCGAUAUAACCUUAGGAGGUUACGCUCAAGCGAAUUUCAAGCUUGAAAAUUCAUGAAUUUCAAUGAUUUCCGCCAAAUUCUAUUGGGUUUAUCUUUCUCGCAACAUGAAAACACAAAAACGAACUUGUCGAGACGAAUCCAAAUUUGACACGACACUUUUCGCACGGCUUCAAAAGUUUCUACCUUUUUACCUGUGGUUGAUUCUUUUUGGGUUUGGCAAGAUCCACUCUUGGGUCUUGCCGCCCCCUGCAACUAGUGGGGGCCAUUGCGGCUCCUCCAUUUCGAAUAUGGUGCAGCUAAAUACGAUUGAACACGCAAUUAAAGUCUCAAAAUGGUCGUGUAUUAGCAGACAAUACAUAUAUAUACAUAUAUAUAUUUCCACCCGCGAUGCAUUGUCACGACUCCAUAUUUUACAAGAGAUGCUUAUUAGACAAUAUAUAUGCACCUGCGAUGCAUUAAGAGAUGCUUACUAGACAGAAUAAACUCGAGUUCACAUAAGGAGUUGCCUUCCUUGUCUAAAGAGGUUGCACGGUCAGGGGCAAUCCACAAGCUGGUCUAAGAGAAAGCAUUAUUGAAGGAGAAUGACAGUGAUUUGGCGAGAGAGAAAAGGAAAACCUAGAGAGGACCAAGGAUAAAACAAUCUUGUAUUCCAUCAUCAUCAAGUUUCGGCCAAUGCACAUUCGCCCUCCGAACCCAAACGGCAAAAAACCCAUCUUGUGCUUGCAUCCCCCUUGGCUGUCGCCGUCAAACCUCUCCGGCUUGAACUCAUUCACGUCAUCAACCCAUAAAGUUGGGUCGUGGUGCAUGGACACGACAUCAAUCCAUAUGUUCGUGCCAUCGGGAAUUAUCAUGUCAGUGACCCAAAUGUCUCCCCUUGCCUGCCUUUGUACAUUCGGGGCUGGACUAUAUAGGCGUAAAACCUCAUUCAUCACCAAUCCCAUCAGCAAUGACAGGUUAAUCAAGAUUUAGUCAAGCAUUUCUCUCCUGUUUUUUUUUUUUUUUUUGUCUAAUGAUUUCAGUCAAACAAGCACCUCUUUGCAGUUGCAUUAGAUUAGCGUAAGCUUGUCAUAAUCAAACCUGGAAACAAUAACUAAUCAGUAGCAAAUGAAAAAAGGUUAGAUGCAUGGUGGGAUCCAAGUUAGCCCUCCAACUGGCCUAUACUUGUUUCCCAUGUUUUUGAGCCCUUCAGAUCAGAGGCGAUUCUUAGAGAUUCAAGCAAGUCAAAGAUUUUGCAUGAAGGUACUUUGAAUGGUCGUGAUUUAAUAAAAUGUUUAUAAGCCACAAAAUAUCUCCCGUAAAUGCUAGUUCUACAUUUGAUAAUUCCACUAGGCAAUCACGAGGUCAACGAAAUCAUGUAGAAAAUUCAAGUUGUCUUCUUUGUCAUAAUCUUUAAAAUUUGUGGCGUAUUGCUGGCCAAAAUUUAAAACAGGAGGUCCUUAAACUUUUGUUGUUGCCACAAAGAUAUUAUGUACAAUCUCAAAGUAGAUAUGUUAUGUAAUGUAAUAAAUCUAAAACUUCAAAUAUUUUGCUAUUUUUCAGAGAAUUUCUCAGAUAGAUCCAUUUUACCAUUAAGAGGAAGCCAAAGAUAAAAUGGAGAACAUGCGACAUUUCAAACAUUUCCUGUGGAGCUUCAAUUAUAUUAUUUCCAAAAUUUGAUUGAGUAUAUUAUAAGUCUACUAAAACUAGAGUAUGAGAUGUUCCCCCUCAUUUGCCAUAUUUCUUGACCCAUGAAUAGAAAAAAGUUAGUAUCAAGAUAAAGUUCAAAGUAGGACUGAUCAAUCUUAUACUGAGGCAAAAACCAUCAAAUCCUUCUCAAAGACCAACAUAAUAGCAAGGCGGUAAAAAAUGAAUUACUGCUAUUAUUGUUCAAGCAUAAAUCAAGGAACAAUAAACCCUAACUCGAAGGCUAAAAAGAUUUCCGCCUUGAGAAAUAUUCGCACUCGAGUCUGUAACACCAUAUACAUGAUUGUCUUUGCAAUCACCUAUAUAAUCAACACAGGUAGAACGCAAGAGAUAAUUCCUGAAGAGUGAGUUGUAGCUAAAGCCACAAAGUAGUAUCAAUACUGCUGCCUGGACACAUAGUAUUUCUUAUGUUUCUCAAUUACUUAAUUGCAAUUAAUCUACCAAAAUCACGGUCCGUUAUUCGCCCUCGCAUGAUAAAUUAUCUUUGUUCCCCAUCACACUUCACUCAGUCAUUUUCACUUUCAUGCAGAGUUCAUUACUCUCUCUCUCUCUCUCUCGUAUCAUCAAUUAAUGCUGUUGCCCGGCAGCAGCCAAAACUUAUCCUUUCCUAAAAUGCUCAAUAUAUAAGUGACUCUUUACCUUCUUAAGUCCAGCAAGCAUGGCGACUUCGAAAUCUUUAUCUCCUACUACUUCUUCAAUCUCUUCUCUCAAUUGCUUCUGCCACUCUAGGUAUAAUGCCAGGAGAAACAUGUUAGAUUUUCACAUAAUUCUUAAUGCGGAAAUUCAUAACAAAUCAAGGAUCUUUGAUCUUCAUGAUUUUCACAAAUAGAUGAAGACAUACAUUUAUCCAUAGCGCUACACUUGACGAUGAUCGUUGUAGAAAACCCAAAGAAUCUCGAACCAAAAAAAGAAAUCCGAUUUCUCUCCCUUAACCCACUAAACCUUAAUGUAUUCUAUCGAUGGAGGAAAGAAUACCAAAUUCCUUUAUGUUAUUGUUGUUCGUUGUGGGUGGAGAGAGGACCGAACUCUAUUUAUACGUUCAUUGAAAAUGUGUAUUCCAUCAAAGCGAUAUACCCUUUCAUUUUAUUAGAGUCGCAACUUCUCGUAACCAAUAAUUAUUUAUUUUAUAGCAAUUCAAUAAUUAUUAAACCAUAUAAUAAAUCAUAUCAUGUGGGUCACAAUAAUUCUUACAUUCUCUCACUUGGCCCAUAUGAUUUUCCUUUCAUGGUUUAAUAAAUACUAUAAUGUGCACAAUAACAUUAUGCUAUAAAAUUUCAUUAAAUUGGCAAUCACAUAACAAUCACAAUUAAGCAAAGAAAACUAAAAUGAGUCAUAAUGGUUGUGUGUCAUUAAUCGACAUAGUUCCUUCUAUGUACUACAACUAUAGCACUUUACUUAACAUGAUCCAUAAAUGAGAAGUACAGUAAUAGUCCAACCAUAAUGUUUCUUUAGAAACUAUCCUGUUUAACAUUCAUCUAUUUCCAUAAUGUAUACAAAAUAGAAAACAAAAAAUAUCAGAAACACAUAAGUGAGCUCAAAGUGUCAAAUACAUAAACUUAAUAAAAUCAUAAUACAAACAUUAAUGACGUCCAAUAAUGCCCAUCUUUUCAACAUACUCAUUAAAUGUUUUGGGCGGCAGUCCUUUUGUUAAGAGAUCUGCUAUCAUAAGAUUGGUGCUAAUGUGCUCAAUUGACACUCUUCAUUUAUGAACUUCUUAUUUAACAGACAAGUAUUUAAUCUCCAUAUGCUUAGCACCCUUAGAAUACUUGUCGUUCUUAGAGAAGAAAACUGCUGCAGAGUUAUCACAAUAAAUUUUCAACGGCUUGGCAAUACUGUCGACAAUCACAAGUCCUGAAAUAAAAUUCCGCAGCCAUAAUCCAUGAAUUGUGGCCUCAAAGCAUGCCACAAAUUCAGCUUCCAUAGUGGAUGCAGCAAUAACGGAUUGUUUCGCACUCUUCCAUGAAAUUGCCCCUCCAGUUAGAAGAAACAAGUAACCAAAUGUUGAUUUUCUUGUAUCGACACAUCCGGCUAAGUCUGAAUCUGAAUAUCCAAUCACCUCGAGAUGAUUGGAUCUUUUAUAAGUGAGCAUACGAUUCUUCGUUCCUUGCAAGUAUCUAAGAACUUUCUUUACAGCUUUCCAAUGAUCCAUUCCAGGAUUACUUUGAUACCUGCCCAGCAUUCCGAUAGCAAAACUGAUGUCUGAUCUGGUGCAAGUUUGUGCAUACAUUAAGCUCCCCACAAUAGAUGCAUAAGGAAUAUUUUUCAUUUGUUCUCGUUCCAAUUCACUUUUCAGACAUUGCAUAAGACUAAAUUUGUCACAUUUUUUGAAUUGGAACUAUUCCUGCUGAAUAUUUACUCAUAUUAAAUCACUCUAAAGGUUUCUCAAUGUAGGCUUUCUGAGACAAUCCUAAUAAUUCUUGUGAUCUAUCACGGAAUAUUUCUAUUCCUAUCACAUAUGUUGCCUCUCCCAUAUCCUUCAUUUCAAAAUUCUUAGAGAGAAACUUCUUGGUUUCAUAUAACAAACCAAGAUCAUUAGCAGCAAGCAAAAUGCCAUCAACAUACAGAACUAGAAAAAUAAACUUGCUCCCACUAAUUUUCAUAUAUAUACACCGAUUAACAGUGUUUUCCUUAAAUCCAAAUGAAGUUAUGGUAUCGUUAAACUUAAGAUACCAUUGUCGGGAAGCUUGUUUAAGUCCAUAUAUUGACUUCUUUAAUUUACAUACCAUGUGUUCCUUUCCUUUAAUUGAAAAGCCUUUGGGUUGGUCCAUAUAAACCUCUUCUUCUAAAUUCCCAUUAAGUAAUGUGGUUUUUACAUCCAUUUGGUAUAACUCCAAAUCAUAAUGAGCCACCAAAGUCAUAAUGAUUCUAAGUGAAUCAUUCUUAGAGACUGGUGAAAAUGUCUCUUUAUAGUCAAUGCAUUCUUUCUGAGUAAAACCCUUUGCAACAAGUCUGACUUUAUGUCGUUCAAUAUUACAUUUUAAGUCGCGCUUGGUCUUAAAGACCCAUUUACACCCGACAUUCUUACAUCCUUUAGGCAAUUCAACAAUAUCCCAAACUUGAUUUUGAUGCAUGGAUUUUAACUCUUCUUCCAUGGCAUUAAACUAUUCAUUAGAAUCUUCACAUUCCAUGGCUUGGGAAAAUGAAUCUGAAUCAUUUCCAAUUCCUAAGUCAAUUUUUUACUCUUGUAGAUAAACCAUAUAGUCAUAAAAAAAAUAGCCGACCUCCUUUCUCUUUGAGAUCUCCUUAAUGCUAUUUCUUGUGACUCGGCUAUUAGAGGUUCAUUAUUGACAUCUCUAUUAUCGAGUGUUUGUUCAUUAAUUUGUUGUUCUCGAUUAUUGUUAGAUUGUACUACAAUAUAAGGAACAACAACUUUAGAAGCUUUAGGCAUAGGAACUUCUACCCUUACUUCUUGAAUGCAAGCAUUACGCAUUCUUUCACUCCCACCGAUGUCACUAUUCUCAAUGAACCUAGUAUUUCUAGAUUCAACAAUUCUUGUACUGUGAUUAGGAAAAUAAAAUUUAUAUCCUUUGGAUUUCUCUGCAUAACCAAUCAAAUAACCACUGGUCAUUCUUGAAUCCAAUUUCCUUUUAUGUGGAUUAUAAAUUUUUACUUAUACUUGACAACCCCAAACAUGUAGGUGUCGUAAACUAAGUUUCAUUCCCGUCCACAGUUCAAAGGGAGUCUUUGGAACUGUCUUACUAGGAACCUUGUUUAAUAAGUACAUAGAAGUCUUUAAAGCAUAUAUCCACAAAGACAAGGGUAAAGAUGAAUGACUCAUCAUACUAUUAAUCAUUUCUAUUAAAGUACGAUUACGCCUUUCUGCUACACCAUUUUGUUGUGGUAUACCUGGCAUUGUGUAUCGAACACAAAUGCCAGGUCUUUCAAGGAAUUUAGCAAAUGGACUUGGACAUUGUCCCGAUUUAUCAUACUUUCCAUAAUAUUCAUCACCUCUAUCCGAUCUUAUUAUUUUUACCUUUUUAUCUAAUUGCCUCUCAACCCCUUUAAUAUACACUUUAAGUGCAUUCACUGAUUGAGACUUAUCAUGCAAUAGUUAAAUGUAACCAUAACGUGAAAAAUCAUCAAUAAAGAUUAUGAAAUAGCUUUCCUUACUAAAAGAUAGAACAUCGAAAGGACCACAUAUGUCAGUAUGUAUAAUCUUAAGAAGCUCUUUGUUUCUUGUGGCACAUUUCUUAGUGUGUUUUAUUUGUUUACCUUUAAUACAAUCAAUACACACUCCAAUGUCAGUAAAAUCUAAAUUUGGAAGAAUUUCAUUCUUCACUAAUCUUUGCAUUCUUUCAUUGGAUAUAUGACCUAAACGUUUAUGCCACAAGUAAGCAGAAUUUUCAUUCACCAAACUUCGUUUAGUGCCAACAUGAUGAUGGAAGAUCAUUAAUGUCUCAACAAAAGUAUUAUCAAGUCUAAAUUUGUAGAGACCAUCACAUAAAGUUCCAGUUCCAAUAAAAGUAUUACUCUUAAAUAGACUGAAAGAUUUAUAUCCAAACUUACAAUAAAAUCCCGCCACAUCAAGUCUUGGCAAAGAAACUAAAUUGCGAGAAAAUGUAGGUACAUAAAGGGUUCGAAACAAAUCCAAAUAAUACCAAGUAUUUAAGAUCAAACGGUAAGUGCCAAUGCCUUCAACUGGAGCUUUAUUUCUGUUCCCCGUAAUCACAUAACUUUCAUUUGGCUUUAUAGUUUGGAUCGUAAGAAAUUAUCGCAUCGUAUUUAACACAUGAGUGCUAGCACCAGAAUCAAUCCACCAAGUAUUAUGAGGAACUUCAGUAAAGUUUGAUUCAAAACAUACUAAAGCACAAGGCUUACCUUUCUUUUCGAACCAAGCCUUACAUUUCAGAUAAUCUUUCUUCAAGUGUCCAAUUUUGUUGCAAAAAUGACACUUAAUAAGAUUGUGUUCUUUCUUGUGGAUUUGAGAAGCUUUUGAAGAGUCAUUCAGAACGUGUAGUCUUUUCUUCUUGUUCCUUUCACCUUUCCUCUUGAAAUUCUUUCGAACUUCUUGAUGACUUGAGAGAUGAACAUAAUGAGCUUUUUGAUUAUUUAUCCUUGUUUCCUCUUGAAUUAGCAUACUGGCCAAUUCAUUUACAUUCCACUUAUCCUUUAUAGUGUUAUAAUUCAUUUGAAAUGGCCCAUAUUGCUCAUGAGGCAAUGAAUUAAGUAUAAAUUGUACUAAAAAAUACUCAUCCACGUUCAUUCCCAAAGUCCUUAACUUUGAUGCUAAAUUCGUCAUCUCAAGUAUAUGCUCAUGCAUGGUAUGCGAACCAUCAUAUUUCAUGGUGGUUAGUGUGCUCAUCAAUGUACCAGCAAGUGACUUAUCAGCAGUUUGAGAACGCUCUUUCACAAAUUUCAUAAAUUCCUUAGCAUUGUUAGUCUUGGGAAGAGAAGUCUUUAAGUUGUUUGCAACUGUCAUUCGCAUGAACAUUAAGCUCAGUCUAUUCGAUCUUUCCCAAACUUUAUGGAAAGACUUUUCAUUAUCGCUACUUUCAUCAAUAAUAACAGCUGGUUUCUCAGCUUGAAGCGCUAAAUCAAGAUUCAGGACACUUAAGUGAAACUUGACUUGUUCACUCUAAUCAGGAAAAUUUAUCCCAUUAAAUAAGGAAACAGAUGAGGCGUGCGAAUGGAGUGAAACAUGUACAUAUACUGCAAAUGUGCAAGAAAAUAUUCAUACAUUAACGCUUUGAGAAUAUCACCUAAUUAGAUUCAAACUAAACGACAUAUGUACAUCAUAGUUCUCUUUUGGGCGAUCCUAUCAUAUACAAAUAUAUAUAUAUAUAUAUACCAUAAUGAUGCUAAUAACUUUUAUUUGAUAAUUGUAAAUAUAUCUUAUUAAAAUUUAUUUGUUAUCUUUGGAUAUACAAACAAAUUUAACAAGUCAUAUUAAUUAUCAACCAUCAUGUUCAUGAAUUAUAAGAAAAUAAUUAACUUUUGGGUUAAUCCCUAAGUUCUUAUAAUAAAUGAACUUCAAUAUACCCAUAACUCCAAUAAUGAUAUAAAACAUAUCAAUUUCAUAUAUAGCAUCAAUUAAUCAUGGGUAAUUGAAUAAAAUAAUUUACAAUAUCAAAAAAUUCAAAAGACUUCAAGGUUCGGCCACUUUGGUGACUAACAAACCAUUCAUAAUAUGAAUUUUUAAUAUUGUAAAAUACAAGUAUUUACCAAAUUUGCACACAAGGACAAAACUUAAUCAAAGCGUAAGGGCAAAAUCGUAAAAUCAUAAUUCCAUAAGGGCAAAACCAUAAAUUUAAUAUCCAGGGGCAAAAUGGUAAAUAAUCAGCAAUGGCAGAAUCAUAAUUAUAAAUUAAACAGGGGCAGAACAAUAAAUAAAUUGCGAGAAGGACAAAAUGGGAAUUUUAAAAAUACACGCCUGCAAUUGCAGCGCGUGCGUGGAGCCCACGUGCCUUCUUCCUCACGACCUAAACACGUUUCUUUGCCAUUUUUCGCCGUUCCACCGCGGUUUCGCCGGCCUUUUCUUCUCUAGCGGCCCAUCCCAGACACAAAUAAAUAAUGAGUUUUGAAGAGCAUGCCAGCACGACCACAUGGGUCCAAGUUUCGAAGAAAAUGACCAAGAAAUUGGCCCCAAAUCAAAGCAAAAUUUCUCAAAACACAAAACCUCCACCACCGCCGCUUCCACCGCUCGAUUAGCCUCUGGCGAACACUGAUAUACCGGAAAAACUCAUGGCUAAUGUUUCUCAUGGCAGUGCGACGGUGUGGGUCCGAAAUCAAGCGGUGGGUUGCCGGAUUUUGCCUGGAACCGGCGGAUUUCUCACUUUGCCUCAAAAUAUCCGAAUUCCUCCAUUUUCGUCCUUCUUCAUUCGAUUUUUUUUUUAUUACACUCCAUCAUUCGGGUUUUAACGACAGAACCUUCCAAAACAUUUCAACAACAACAAAUACUACGAACAGAAUCAUUCAACGAAUCAUUAUGCAUAAAUCAUAAUAUUUCUAUAAAUGGAAAAAUCAUGAGAUCAUAAACCAAACGCUCUGAUUACCAACUGUUAGAUUUUCAUAUAAUUCUUAAUGCGGAAAUUCAUAACAAAUCAAGGAUCUUUGAUCUUCAUGAUUUUCACAAAUAGAUGAAGACAUACAUUUAUCCAUAGCACUACACUUGACGAUGAUCGUUGUAGAAAACCCAAAGAAUCUUGAACCAAAAGAAGAAAUCCGAUUUCUCUCCCUUAACCCACUAAACCUUAAUGUAUUCUAUCGAUGGAGGAGAGAAUACCAAAUUCCCUUAUGUUAUUGUUGUUCGUUGUGGGUGGAGAGAGAACCGAACUCUAUUUAUACGUUCAUUGAAAAUGUGCCUUCUAUCAAAGCGAUAUACCCUUUCAUUUUAUUAGAGUCGCAACUUCUCGUAACCAAUAAUUAUUUAUUUUAUAGUAAUUCAAUAAUUAUUAAACCAUAUAAUAAAUCAUAUCAUGUGGGUCACAAUAACUCUUACAAAACAUCGUCCAGGUGAGAGCCAAAGCUAUCGUUUCAUGGCCCCCGAAGAAGAACGUCUUGCAUUCAUCCACUAGUUCUCUUGUAGCUAACUUCUUCGUCUGCCUUUUGUAGCUAACUUCUUCCAGGCUUGCUUGUUUUUCUCUUUUGUUACUAGUCCUAGAUUCCUAGCGAAUAAGAAAAACUGCCUUCCUUUGCUUCUUAUUCUUGAGAAGGUAAUGGAAGCCUUUUUAUAAAGUUGAACAGAUCAAUGUUCAGCAUAAAAUAUUGGGAUUUUGACAAGGACAACACAAAAUCUCAGGGAUUAGAAGGAACUCACAACUCCUUUAACUUGGAAUUUCUAGCUUUAUCAAUUAUAGUUUCACUUACGGGAAAUACUAUAACAAGAACUCCCAAGAGCAUUAAAAGGAACUCUCAAUUUGAUCGAUUAUAAUUUCACUUAUAGGAGCAACCUUCCUCAUAUUAAUGCCUCAAUCACAAUAGCAAAGUGCAUGAACUACGGUAGAUACAUUCCUAGAGAAAAUUAAAAUAAUAAGCUGCGAAAAUAUUUUGUUGGAGAGAGAGCUGGAGAAACCUUGAGAUUGGAUGGAGAAAAUGCUGGAGUUAUGAUGUGUCUGCGUUGAACCCACUCAUCACCUUCGGUGAUUAGAAGACCAUUACCAAACACUGGCUUCCUAUCCAAUUUGAACACAUCGGGCUUUCCCCAAUUUUUACCCUUAACUAUGACAGACGUCUUUUUAAGAAAUUCGGGGUCUGCGAUGUAGAGAAACGGCUUAGUGCCUAGCCAGUAGAUGAACACCUUCCCUGAUAUUCACAAGAUCCAGAAUAAAAUUUGUUAGCGUGAUCAUUCUUGCUUCUUUAAAGUAGAACUGCAAUACAAUACAUAUAGGUUUGGAAUUGAUGGCUGUUGACGAGAUAUCGUCAUCAUGGCUAAAACCCAUGACAACGUGAAAAUUUCACUAACAUCCUCUUGAUCAAUAACGAAUCGAUGGAUUUAUAGAGAGAUCAAGAUUAUUUUGCUAUGCCUAAAUGAAGAGAUGCGUCCAUAUGCCAUGAUGUAUAAUUCUCUGCAUGAUGAAACUCUUACGAAUUCCUAAAAGUCACUAACCCUAAAAAUCAAUCGGCUAUGCGCCUACUAAACUUACGUAAAUUAUCUUUUUGCCCAAUGAAUCUCAAUCAACAAAACAAAACACCAAUUGUGUUUAUAUGGAUAAUCUUAUGCAUUGAUAACCAUGACAACAGUUCUCACUUUUCUUCUCUUGUAGAAAUUCACAUUUUAGGGCCAAAUGAUUUGAAAACUUAGACAUUAACACGUACUAUAGUUGACUUCAAGGGUUUAUUGCCUUAUCUUCACACCAGCAGGUGAUCACUGAAGAUAAGGUCGAUCUUCUAGAAUUGAUGUUAGGGAUAUUGGGAAAACUUGGGGUUGGACCACCAAACCCAUUUUUCCUCUGCUUCCUUUGAGCUAGGAGUGGCAAAAUCCACCAGGCGAUCAACAGUCUCACAAGAACCAUGAAGAGGAUUAGGAUCAACACUGCUAUAAUUGAAGUAAGACCGCCAUGCGACUGCACAUGGUACCUCAUCUCUGUGUGCGUGGGUGUGUGUGUGAUAUGGGAAAAUUGAUUGCGGUGAAACAAUUCAAGAUGAAGGACGGUGCGAGUGGGUGUUAUAUAGAUGAAUGGCUUUAUAGGGUUUCUAACUAAAGCAUGUCGGAAUGUUGACUAGGAAAGCAGCCGAGGGAAAAGUAGACGUGGUGUGCUGUUGUGUAUUUUUUAUGUAUCUCGCUUACAGGACCGGAGUACGUAUUAUAAGCCGUGGAACUAAUGAUGCUCAUUUCCUGUUCCUACUUGGUUAUUAGAUUUUAAUUAGAUAUUAGGUCCAUUCACGUCGGCUAUAGCUCUCGUGUGGACGACUCUUAGCCGCAAAACUCGAAAUGACGCUGUCUCUCCCCGUAAUGCCCUCUUUUGACUGACGCAUGACGGUCUCAUCUCCAACAGCAUAUGGUAGGUUCUCCGCCACUCUCAUGAAUGGACAAAAAUCAUUGAUAUCCUUCCCCAAGUUCGUGAGUGGCUAGUAGGAAGCCAACAACGAAUGCAUGUCGACUCACGUAAAUUGCAACACACUUCAACCCUGGAUGUACGACGGAGAUCAAAUCACGUGAGUUAGUCUAUAUGUUUCGAUUUCAUGCCUACUCAAUUUCAUCCUUUUUAUUAGAAUGUUUAGCCCAAAAAUUUAAGCCGAUAUGUGGAGGGAUGGAGAAAAUUGUCCAAAAAAUUCUAAAUCUGUUGUACUUUUACCAAUUAAGUCAUAAAAUUUUUAAUUUAGUCAAUUCAGUCGUAAACCUUUUUAUUUCUUGACAAUUCAAUUUAUCUGGACAAUUUUGGCCAGAAAAUGCUGAUGUGGACGGUACCAUGUAGGACCAGUAGUGUUGACGUAGACAAUUUUUAAUAUUAAUUUAAUAUUUUUGAAUUUUUAUUAUUUUUAUAGUAAUAAAGUUCUAAAUAAUGCUAUUACCAUUGGAAAGUAAUAGUGCGCUGGCUCAAAAUGGUAUACUACUAAAUAUUAGUACUUGACAUAAGCUGUUUUUGGGAAUUUCAAAUUUCAUAGUAAAGUGUGUUGAAUUGAUAUUAUUUAGGAUUUUUAGUGAUAUUAACUUUUUUCCUUUUUUACUUGAUAAAUUCUUGAUAUACGCAAUUAAAAACUCACCAUUUGUCCACCUGAUCCCCUUCGCUGACUUUUUUUUUUUUUUUUUUUUUUUGGUCGAAAGAUAAAGGCUUUUCAUUCACUUGUGAGCAAAGAUACAACCCUUAAACAGGGCAUCAAUACAGAGUAAGUCCAACAUAAGCUGAGGAGGAGAAAAAGCCCAAUUGAGUGGAAGGUUGCCUCUGGCAUGGGCCUUCGCGGCCCAGUCGGCUAGGGCAUUUGCUUCCCUUCGACAGUGCGAGACGAUCAGAUUGGAGAACAACAUCUUCAAGAACACACACUCAGCGAUCAGAUUUCGACAUUCCCAGGGUGGUUCGCAGCUUCCAUUGAUGGAUUCAACCAAGGUGAGAUUAUCCGAUUCUAUGAUGAGGUGUUCUUCCGUCCGUUCUUUCUGUAAAAGCUCCCGAAAAGUGUGUAACAGAGCUUGGAUUUCUGUUUCUAUGGCCGAUCGCGCUCUCACAGUACGGACGAAUCCCCCAAUCAAUCUACCAGAAGAGUCCCGAGCGAUGCUAGCGAUCACGCCUUCAUGGUGUCCACUGGGAAAAGCCCCGUCGAGAUUGAUCUUUAGUAUCCCCUGUGGCGGAGGUUCCCAAAUCCAAUUAGGGUUCAACCAUGUCUUGCGGGUCGGUAUGUCAAUUUGUGGGGUUCGACUGCCUGCCUGGACCAUAUUAACUGAUGCUUGAACCAGGUGAUCCGGGUGUGUUCGCUGAUGCCGAAAGACAAAGAGGUUACGGGCUUUCCAAAUAUGCCAAAGCAGAGCCGCAAUCUGCUCGAAACCAGGUACACCUCUCGGUUGAUCCUUCUUCUAGUGUAUAUGUGUAUGAAGCCAUGUUUCGAUACGUUGUAUGCUGUGGGGUGUAACUUUAAUUUGCACGCUGGGGUGAUUCCAGAUGUACUUUGUCCAUGGACAUAGUAGGAAUAGGUGUUCUGGGGUUUCGGGUAUGUCGGAUGAGCAAAGUUGACAACAAGGGUUUGGGGUGAUCUUCCUUCGAUAUAAAUUGGCUGCUGUAGGGAGAGCAUUCUGACACACAGCCCAAAGAAAUACUCGAACCUUGGGAGCUAUCUGAGCUUUCCAAAUCCGUCUCCAUAAGGUAGUAGGUGGCUGAUAGGAAGAUGAAGGUUGAGAUUGAAGCUUUAGAGAUGCCAUUUGUUUAAUGAAAUGAUAACCACUCUUAACAGAAUAAGAACCAUCUGCAGUAUCUGUCCACACAAGUUUGUCCUCAGAGGAGGCUGAUGUUAGAGGAAUAGAUAAAAUUUCGGUAACUAUGUGGUCUUGAAAUAGUUGACGUAGCAGUUCCUCAUUCCACACAUGCUGAUUAUCCAGAAUAAGUUCCUGUACUUUCUUCGGCUCUGUCCUGUUAUAAGGUCCACCUAGAAUUCCCAAUUUCAGCCAUUUAUCUUCUCUAACUCUAAUCUGGGUGCCAUUCCCUACUGACCAUUGGAGUUUGUCAAGAAUAGAAUCCCUACCGAGAACAAGACUUUGCCAGCCCCAAGAAGACCUCGUCCCUUUCUUUGCAGACCAGAAACUAGAAUGAGGGAAGUAUAAAGCUUUGAAAACAGUGCUCCACAAAGAGGAAGGAUUAGUAAAAAGUCUCCAUGCUUGCUUGCCCAAAAGAGCUUUGUUUAAGGAAAUUAAGUCGCGAAAACCUAAACCUCCUUGAUCUUUGCUCUUUUUGAGAGUUUCCCAGUUUUUCCAAUGGACGCCUGCUUUGUUACUAUUAUUUUUCCACCAAAACCUUGCUAUUUGUUGUUCCACCGCCUUACAUAUGGAGACAGGGAGCUUAAAAACAGUCAUAGCAUACUGGGGUAGUGCCUGAACCACCGAUUUCAACAAAACCUCCUUCCCUCCCUUAGAUAUCAGGUUUUCCUUCCACCCCUCCAGCUUAGUAGUAACUCUACUUAAAAUCCAUGCGAACAUAUCACGUUUAGAGGAUCCCCAAUCAGACGGAAUGCCUAAAUAUUUCCCUGUUUUGUCCAAAAUUGGAACUCUAAAGUCAUAAGCCAGAUUAAGUUUAAGGGAAUAAGGGCAGUUUUUACUCAUAAACAAACCAGAUUUGUUUCUGUUUAUCUCUUGUCCAGUUGCUAGGCAAUACUGAUUGAGGAUAUUUGAUAAGUUUUGGCUCUCUUGAAUUCGACCGUCAAUGAACAGAAUGGCAUCAUCGGCAAAGAAUAAAUGUGAUAGAGUAGGACACCAUCUGUUGAGUUUAAUGCCUCUUAAAUGACCCAUGCUAAUAGCAUUCUGGAUAAGAGUAGAUAGUAACUGUGCCACAAGAAUGAAUAAAUAGGGGGAUAGAGGGUCACCUUGUCUUAAACCUCGGGAUGGGCGAAAAUAAUGGAGAGAUUCCCCAUUCAGUUUAACACUAAAAGAAGUGGUUGAAACACACUGCAGCAUCCAUUUCACCCAUUGAGCAUGAAAUCCAAGUCUGUGAAGGUAAUCUUUUAAGAAAUCCCACUCCACCCUAUCAUAGGCUUUCUUCAUGUCUAGCUUGAGAAUUCCCUGAAAUUUUUCCUUUCUGUUUCUAGAUUUCAGCUGGUGUAGAACCUCUUGAACGAUUAGAAUAUUGUCCUGGAUUUGUCUACCAGAGACAAAUGCACUUUGUUCUUUAGAAAUUAGCACUGGCAGCCAGGUUUUGAGACGGUUCGCCAAAACUUUUGAUAUGAUUUUAUAGAUAAAGUUACAUAAACUGAUGGGGCGGAAUUGGUCUAACCUCUCGGGAUGCUGGAUUUUCGGAAUAAGGACUAAAGAAGUUUGGUUGAUUUCCGAUGGCAUAUGGGCUGUUGCAAAGAACUGUUGAACCGUAGAGAAAACUUCUUCCUGUAUAAUGUCCCAGUAAUGACGGUAGAAUAAACCAUUUAACCCAUCCGGUCCGGGCGCUUUAGUUGCUCCUAAUUGAAAAGUGGCUUGCUUGACUUCCUCUCUUGUAACAUCUGCUGUUAGAUGAAUAUUCAUUUCUGCUGUGACUAUUGGACAGCAUUGCAUGAGAAUAGGGUUAUAGUCUCUUUGUCCUGCAGAAGUGUACAAUUGCUGAAAAAAGUUGAGAGUCUCAUGCUUCACCUGAUCAGGAUCACGAAUCCAGUCCCCAUUAUCAUUCUGUAAAAUGCUGAUUUUAUUCCUUUGACGCCUUUGGAUUGUGGUAGCAUGGAAAAAUUUCGUAUUCCGAUCACCCCAACACAUCCAAUUAAUGCGAGAGCGCAUGGCCCAAUAUUGUUCUUCUUGUGCCCAUUUUUGUUGGAUUUGAGAUCUCAAGGAAUUGACCAGAUCUUUAUCAUAAUUACAUGUAGGCUCAUUGAGACAGUGUUGAAGUUGCUGUUGCAAAAAUGAGAUUUGUUGCUGAGCUUCCUGAAACUUAUGUCUGCUCCACCUAGUCAAAGCCGUAGUGGUGUUCUGAAUCCGCCGCGAAAUGUGGAGCUUAUCAGUGGAAUGAUGAGACCAAGAUGUGGAGAUCACCUCCCUACAUUCUGUAUCUGAGAAGCCAAACGCUUCGAAGUAAACUUUUCCUUCUCUUCACUGGUCUUACAUUAGUAGUUAACAAAAGCGGGCUAUGGUCAGAGCCUAUGGCGGGAAGGGCAAGAACCUCUGCCUCUGCAUAUUUUAAACGCCACUCAAAUGUACAUAAUGCACGAUCGAGCCUUUCCUUAACAAUGUCCUCACCCUCUCUAUUAUUACUCCAGGUGUAGGCACAACCCUUUGUGUCAAGAUCCAGCAAAGCACAAUCAUGGAGAACUUCCCGAAAAGCAUGCAUACGGUAAGAAGGAGCUGGUCUCUUACCUACCUUCUCCCAUGGAUGCAAUAUGUCAUUAAAGUCCCCUAUACACACCCAAGGCAAGGUAUGCAAGUUACUGAGCCUCCGUAAAUCUGCCCAAAAUUGUUGUCGAUAUUGAAAGACCGAUGGCGCAUGUAAACAGGUAAGACCCAUAGGUGAGCCCUUACCAAUUUCUGAGCAAAUAGUAUCUAUAUAGUGCGCUGUAGAGCUAUUAAUAUGAAGAGAGAUCUGAUUCGUCCAAAAAAUAACCAUACCUCCAGCCAAACCUGUAGGAUUUACAACAAAACAGUUUGAUAACUUGAUUUUACCUUGGACACGCUGGAUAAGAGAUUCUUGAUUACGAGUUUCCAUCAAAAAUAGGACAUCGGGCUUUUCUCGGGCCACUAAGGCCCUAAGUGCUUGAACUGUCAAGGAAUUGCCCAAUCCUUGACAGUUCCAACUCAUGAUCUUCAUUUAUCCUUGGGUGGCUUAUUGGGGCAAGCCACCUCAGCCCAAUCUCUGACAUCUUCAACCAUUAUGAUGGGAGUAUCCAGCAGUUGACAAUCUUCAGAAACUUCUGGAAGAACAGAACGCGAUCCAUAUGGAGAAUACCGCUUAGCUUUCUUGACCGGAGAGGUCGUAGUCAGCAACAGAGGUUUUUUAACUUUUUUGGAGUUGGUAACUGACUGUUUAACUUCUGUGACAGCAUUGGAACCUUGUAAACCUGGACGCUCCGGGGAAAACGAAGUGGAAUCGAGAGCUGUCUUACCAGUGACUGAAAUGGGAUGAGCCUUGAAGGAUUCUCUUUCUACGUGCUUAGAACAGGAAUCGGAUGGUCCCGGUGGUGGCAAGAACAAGCCUUGUGAAGGAGUUUCAGGUACCGUUUCCUCUCCAUCUUCCAUAAAAGGUUUUGUUUCAUAGAAAGCCUGCCAGAAAGGGCUAGGGUUCCUUGCUUCGGCCUUAAGCGACUGGCCAGUGCUCCUAAGCUAAGCCGAAUGCCCCGCGUCGUCUUUUUACUUAUUUUUUAUGGAUGAAGACGGAAUUGGCUGCUUGGCAAGUCAGCAUGAAGCUUUGGCUCUCAGUCAACUCUGCUUUUUCUUUAUUCGUUCUGAGGCUUGCUUCUCUUAUUUAAGACAUUUUUUGAAAAGGUUAGCUGUCGUCCCAUUGAUCCUGCCAGACAAGCUUUCCAUUCUCAGCAGCAUUCCAAGCACUCAAUCAGGCGGCUAUAUCUGUACUCGAUUAAGGUACAAGAAUGGACAUGUAGAAGAUCAAUGGGACGAACUCGAAGAACAGGGGAAUUUGAUUUCCAUCUCCCCAACAGAUUUCCUAUGCGCGUGGAUUGUAGUGGGAGAGAAUUGGUGGCGUUUUAGGGUUUCUCUGAGAAGCUGGAUGAAUAAAUUCAUCUGUAGUGUCAAUAUAUUAUGUUUUUUCAUUGCCAUCGAUAUUAUUCAACUAAACAUUACAAAAUAUAAUAAUCUAUAUUUGACAAGGGCAGGGCAGCCUAUUUAUGGCCAUGUUCGUCUCUAUUUUUCGCACUGUUGCAACCUUUCCCAAGGUGAACCACUUAAGAAAAAACUAAUGGAUAAUUAAAUGAGAAUAAAGAUUCCUCUCAUAAGACAAUUGUUUGUGUUUAGUAUAGACUUUCUCAAGCCCUACCGAUCACAACUUGAUACUCAUUUUAACAUGCAACUAUCUUAUCCUUGGGAAUCGUCACUAUCAGUUAGGGUAGAUUAGAGACACUUAAAUAAACUGCUGGACGUUUCAUUUUUGCGAAACGAGAGAGACUUAAUGGAUUCUGGGACUUGAUCAAUCCAGGGGUGUCACACGCAUAGGUUGCUCACCCGUCAAGCACAUAAAUUUACGCGGAACAUGUACGCAUAACGCGGGGCCCACUUGCAUUUUGCACAUACGCAUUCACAAUUCAUACACACACUCACUGAACUUGCACACACACUCGGCCACCCACACUUCGUAUACUGUCACACUCGGCCAUCCCCACUGAACUCUGCACAUACCACACUCUCCCACGCUCCCAUGAACUGAACGCACACAUACUCUCUGCGACGUGCUCGGACAGAGGCGGGGAAGGGCCGGCGGUGGCCGGAGCUUCACCGGGCAACCGUGGUUGAACGGCAGGGCGAUGGAGUGGUGGCAGUUCAGCCACGGAAUGCAUGGCAGUGAGCCUCGAUUCGAAUCUUCUCAGCGUGACCACCAUGAUUUUCCCGCCUUCGCUCUGAAUAUCUGUCCCCCUUUUCCCUGCUGACCAUCUUGCCGAGGACAUCUAGUCCUUCAAUGAUCGCGCCCCGGCGGUGCCAAUGGUCUUCUCUUCGGCCGCGAAAAUUGACGAUAUCAGUGGCCAUAUCUCCAUGUGCCAACGAGAAAUUCCCGAUCUGUAAAGCUUGAACAAACAUCGCCUCUCUGUCUGUCCUUCCUUUUGUUUCUUUUUCGCAUGCGCACACGCGAUGCUUUUUCUAUUUUUGCCCGCUCGUGCACGUUUUCUCUUUAGCCUCUAUGGUCACCUGCUACACGCUAAAUGCCUAAUAAGGUAUGCCUAAUAAGGUACCCCUAAUAAGGUACCUGUACAACGAGAAUCAGACAUUUAAUGAAAUAUAUAUUUCUUGACCACGCUCUGGUGCCUUCAUUGUUAGGUGUCGUUCAUACACGACCGAAAGAAGGAAGAAGAAUCACAACAUUUCACUGCGGGAAUCCGGUCAACACAAAAAAAACUCCGGCAGCUUCGAUGGCCUUGUUCAAAUUCGCGUCGAUCGCCCUUUCCUUCACGGUUCUCUUGCUGCUGUCUCGAUCUCCCCGGAGCUCGGCUCGCGAGGUCGCCGCGUCCACGGACGAAAUCGUUCGCCAGGGGCAGCAGCAACAGCAACAAUCGAGCAACAACGUCUGGUCCUCCUUCCAAGCAAGAAAGAUCCGGCGCCCAUGUGGUGAAAAGGCUGAGUGGCGGUGNNNNNNNNNNNNNNNNNNNNNNNNNNNNNNNNNNNNNNNNNNNNNNNNNNNNNNNNNNNNNNNNNNNNNNNNNNNNNNNNNNNNNNNNNNNNNNNNNNNNGGGGGGGAGAGGGAGAGAUAGGUUAGAGCUGGGAUAUAGCUUGCUUGCAAUGUGAUAUCUGCAAAAAAUUUCUGAAAGUGUGAUUCUUUGCCUUGUAAAGCACUUUCUCGGGUGGGUCUGUAGUAUCAAGUGUCCUUGUUUCAUUAAAUGGUUGGAUGCUGGAUAUCACAGUUGACAUUGUCAAUUCAUGUGAUACGUGGCAUUCAAUGAAACAUUUCAAUCUGAGAGUCUGGUGAGGUUCACAUUCAUUAUAAUUCUUGUACUUAUUUUAGAGUUUGUCUUCUCUUUUCAUCUGGUUUUUCUGCAUUUAGACGAUUUCACCGAAGACCUCAUAUCACGUAAUUUCACUGCUUCGUAUCUUUGUAGGGGCUUCUCUCACCAUAAAUACAUCCUGGAAAAACCCUUCUGGUGAUUGGCAUGUGGGUUGUAAGUUAGUCUAUGAGCUAUUUACGAACACUUUGACAUCUCGUUUGAAGGUAACAGUGUUUCUAACUUUGGCACUUCUCAUCUAUACAUUGACAUCUUAAAUGAAUUUUCUUUCUUUGCAGAAAGAAAGGAAAAAGAAGUGGGAUGAGAGAAACCAGGAAGAAAUUGCCAAUGCUGUGAAGAUCGUUAAUGAAUUUGAUCAGGUUGUCUAAAAUGUUGCUUGUGGAGUAUUUACAUACAUACAUACAUAUAUAUAUAUAUAUAUAUAUAUAUAUAUAUAUAUAUAUAUAUAUAAAUGCUUCUUUGCUUGUGUUUCCAAGCUAUAGUAAGCCUAAGUAAAGCAACGGCAUGAUCUUGAAAAGAUAACUGUAGACAAAGUGUUUCAUCCUUUUUUUCCCCUAAUUUUCGAGUGGAAAAUGUUAGUUCCGCUAAUUGUUUCAACUUUCAAUAAGCAUAAUUGUUCUGUCUCAUAUAGUAGGAAAACAGGUGCGCUUCUUUUUUGAAGUUAUUUGCAUUGUUGAUUGAUCCAGGCAAUUUUUUUUUCAGUGAGAUGAGUUGGGUAUUCUCUGACUGUAUAAACAUUGUCUUAUAGAGGCAUGAUAUUUCCCGUGUAGAAACAUGCCAAAGUUGAGGAUACAGAUUUGAAGAAGACAAGAGAAGAUCUACAAAAUAGAGUUGAUCUUUUACAAAAACAAGCUGAUGUGAGUCUUGUGGAUACUGAUGUUUUUAUCCUCUCCUAUUGUUCUUUUUGGUGUUUGGACUAAUCAACUCCCGAUGUAUGCUUUAAGAACUAUGAUGAUAGGGGCCCCAUUAUAGACGCUGUAGUAUGGCAUGAUGGAGAAGUUUGGAGGGUCGCUCUUGAUACCCAGAGUCUUGAAGAUGACCCAAAUUGCGGGAAACUUGCUGAGUUCGAACCCCUUACUAACUAUAGGUAUGAAGGCAUUUGGAGUAUACCAGGUUUUGUAAAACUUUCUUUUUGUUGCAGAUCAUGUUUUGUAACAUUUAUGUUUCUGGAACCUGUAGUUUCGUUUUCUUAUGGGAAAUACCAAGAUAAGUAUGAGUCACUGUUAAUAGAUCUUAAGAAUCAACUGGAGCAGGACCUAGAAAACUGAAUUUCGUGCUCAACCUUUUCUUGUAUGUCACCCCUUUCUUCUGCUGAAUUUCAUAUGGACCAAGAGAUGAUUAAGAUGAUUUCUUUAACUUUCUUCUUGAAACUUACAGGAUAGAGCGCAAAUUUGGAAUAUUUAGCAAGCUAGAUGCCUGUACAUUUGUUGUCAAUGUGUACGAUGAUGGGAAUAUAUUAAGUAUUGUAACCGAUAGUUCCUUUCACGGUACUCAUGUUGCUGGUAUAGCUACUGCUUUCCAUCCAGAGGUACUAUCUUUGUGGUGAAAAUUGAACAUUAGUAAAUUGCAAUUGCUGCAAACUAUUUGUCUGUUCAAUUGGAUGAUUAUUGGCAGGAACCCUUGUUGAAUGGGGUUGCACCUGGAGCUCAGUUAAUCUCUUGUAAAAUUGGAGACACAUGAUUAGGUUCAAUGGAGACUGGAACUGGUCUCAUUCGAGCACUAAUAGCUGCUGUCGAGGUGGGUAAGGAUAGAUGCUUGUUUUCUCUCAUACAAAAAGAACUUGGACUAUGCACUCUUUUGGUAGGAAUUAAUGUUUUAGCAUGUCGAUAUGCUUAUCGUAAUUUAUAGAGGAUCUUGAUGUUGUUCGGCAAUUCUUUCUGCAGCAUAAAUGUGAUCUGAUCAACAUGAGUUAUGGAGAACUGACAUCGCUGCCUGAUUAUGGACGCUUCGUUGACCUUGCAAAUGAAGUAUGGUCCUAAAUUUCAUCAUUUUCUCAGUACUUUCUUGGAUGCAAGUGCGCCUCACAUUGGUUGAAUUGGGUUGGUGAUAUGUAAAUCUGACUUUUCCCUAUACAUUCUUUUUUGCUGGAAAGAAAUGGCCAGAUAUAAGGAAACUUAACAAAAGUCACUUGGCCACCCUAUUGUAAUUGAUGUACCAGCUCUAUAUCAUCCUCCAACUCUGUUUUUGUAUGCUUCAAGGCUUCUUUGGGUAUUGAGGUUUGUUUGUAGGUUUUGGAUGACGAUGCAUGAUGAUUUCAACGUAAGAGGAAUUGGCAACACACUUAGGAUUAUGUGCUAUAGACCAUAACUUCCUCCCCCCCCUCCUCUUUUAAUUGCAUUUGGCAUUGCUGAGCCACAUCUUUCAUUUUGUAUGGUCGUGAGUAUUUCCAAAAUUGACAUUACCAAAAAGAAUUAUGAGCUCUUUGAAAGUCAGAUAAUUGAUUGAGUAAUCCUCUGGUUAGAACGAUACUGAUUCAUAGAUGAGAUAUGGAAAGAUACAUAGACCGCCAUUUUUUACUCAAUAACAUCGAAGGAUCUUGAGUAUGCACAAGUACAUACUUACAAGCUACAAAUUCUCAUCAGCUUUUGCUUAUGAAGUCAUACAUAAGAUAAGCCUUAAGGUGGACCAAGCCUUCUUAUAUUUGGAAAACUGUCUUAAGCAAAGUUGGUUGUGUAUUUUGAUGUGUAAUUAUGGAGACAGUGAGGACCAUUGACUUUCCACUCCUCUGGUCUUAUGUCUAUGCCUUUAUACUUAUUCGUAUACAUCAUCAUGUGGAUUUAGGUAAUCGAUAAGCAUCGCCUAGUAUUUGUUGCUGCUGCUGGCAAUAGUGGGUCAGCAUUGAGUACUGUGAUAGCACCUGGAGGUACCACUUCGAGCAUCAUUGGAGUUGGGGCAUAUGUAUCUCCUGCAAUGGCUGCUGGUGCCCAUGCUGUAGUUGAACCUCCCUGCGAGGGACUCGAGUAUACUUGGUACUUUUGCUUUACUCUGGCCUUGGACUGUGAUGCCUUCCAGGCAAGAUGGGCCUAUGUUGUGACAUUGAGAACACCCAUAACUGCCAAUCACAUGCAGGUCUAGCAGGGGACCGACAGCUGAUGGUGAUCUUGGUGUAUGUAUAAGUGCCCCUGGUGCGGCUGUUGCACCAGUGCCUACUUGGACUCUUCAACGUCGUAUGAUGGGGUGUGGAACAUCAAUGGCAUCUCCAUCAGCUUGUGGGGGGGUUGCAUUACUCAUCAGCGCUAUGAAGGUAGUUUUGCUAGAAAUGCUUGUGACAUUGAAGAAAGAGCAGUUAUUAUCCAUUUUUUACUUCUAAACCUAUUUUCAGUGCCAGCCUGUAUAGAAUGUUCUCUUAUGUUGUGCAGGCCGAAGGCAUUCCUGUGAGUCCAUAUACUGUACGGAAGGCCCUUGAGAAUACAUGCCUUCCUAUAGGUAGCCUUCCAGAAGAUAAACUAACCACUGGACAGGGGCUCAUGCAAGUUGACAAGUUAGGUUUCCUGUUUGAGGCUCUUGAUUUUACUUACAACAAUAGUUCAGAAUUUUAAGCAUUGCUCUCAAUUGAUGGGUAUCAGGGCUUACGAGUACAUAAAGCUGUCUCAGAACAUUCCAUGCGUUUGGUAUCAAGUGAAAAUGAGUCAAUCUGGAAAAUCAAGUAAGUUUUUAUUACAGGCCUUUCUCAUUUUAUUUUGCAAAUAUAUAAUUAAGUGGUUCCCGUAGUUUUGUAGCCUGUGCACUAUGAAUAUGGCGCAGUAAGAGUUCUGAAUGUGUUUUACAUGGGCCUUAUUUAGACUAGCUUACUGUUAUUGGUUGAUGAGAAUCCGGAUAUUCUGAAUAACUAGUGCCGUUAUCCUGAAAUUAUGAUGCUCAAGUGGACAUCAGCACAGUAGAAGAAAAGCACUGUGGCAUCAUUGUCAUGACUUGCUAGGGAUGGUGUAUCUGUUGUGGUUGAGUAAAAUUGUGCAACAAGUGAGGAUUGCCUCACAGUUACAGAGAAUCCAACUUUUUGAAAUUCUGUUCCCAAUGUUGAGGUUACAAGGUUCACCAUGAACUGUGACGUUCUGUUACAUAAGUUUAGGGGUUCUAUGUGUUACAGCUGAAUUUGAGGGCAUUGUCAAGAAGUAAGGUGUAGGGGUCACCAUAUAUUUUACCCUAAAACAUCAGGUUCAGAUCUUCAAAUAGGUUGCUUUAGCAGCUUGGGUAUGGGCCUGAUAAGCUCUCUUCGAGAUGGAUGAAAGCCAGAUGUUCCGUUAAAUUUUAAUGAAAGAUAUUGACAUGUAUUAGAUCUCUCCAGUUAAAUGAUCAUGUCUCCAUGUGACCAUUGAAAGCAUGGACCAAGCACCUUGUUUGUCUGUCGGACAUGCUUGUCAUACAUUUUUUAUUAUUUGUUUCCCUAAGUUGACAAGGAUAAUGAACCAAUAGUUCUGCUUGACAGGCCUAUUGUAGAAUAUGCAGUUCUGGCUGGCUAUUAAUAUGUUUGGUGUAAUAGAUCAUAUUCCUGCAGAAUUUUGUUUGCCGGUCUGAAGAUGAUAAAUUGAUUAGAUUUUGAGACUCUAUUAGUCAGCUUCCUGGCCAGAAUUAAGGACAUCAUAUUCGCCACCUUUAUUGCAUCUUCUUUUUCAAUUUAUUACUCUUUUCCAUCAUCCAUUUCCAUAAAUCUUAUAAGUAAUGUGCUCCUUUGGUCCCCACUCAGUGGGAUAAGGUUUAUUUUGCUGCUGCCUUUUCUAUUGCUGAUGGUUUUGUGGAUUAUGCUUACAUCAUAUAUACAUUAUUCUAUAUCUGAGAAACUGAACGAGUUGCCUGAUUGAUGGUUUUUUUUUUUGUAGCUCCUACUUCACGAGGCAUUUAUCUUAGGGAGGCUAGCUAUUGCACACGAUCUACUGAGGUGAGAUUAUGGAUAAACUAAGCACAUUCCCCUGUCGUGGAUUCAUCGAGUUGCUUAUGAAAAUCAUAGAGUGAAUUAAACAUUCUUAUUCUUGUGUCUUAUUGUCCUCAUAGGUAGCUUUUGAAUCUUACAUACUUUAGUUUGUUGGAGUAAUUACUUUACAGUUUAUCCAUAAUGGAUGUACGAGUGUAAAUUAUCUCUGUUUCUCCUUACCCUGUGCUGAGUUAGACUCAAAUAUUUUUGUUGGCCAUAAUGCUAUUCUUGUCAUACAUUAGAGCAUUGCUCAGUUAUGCGUGUGAUGUAAUUCUUAAUUUCAUGCUUUAGGCUUCCUGAAAUCUGAUGAGAAAACAAAAUGAAUGGGAGAAAACUGGUGGAAAUUGGGAAGGAGAAAACAGUAACUUAUCUCGUGUUUGGAUAGAAGAAAAAUGGAGUUUAAAAUAGAAGACGUGAAGUUCAAAUUGUGCAUGUGAAGAUGACAAGAAUUCCCUUUAAAAUUUGACAAAAUGUUGCAAGGUUCACCUAAUAAUGUUAGGGAUUUCCUCUAGGCACUUCACCCAUUUGGGGGAGAGUAAGUUUCCUCUCGCUGCGAUUAUAACCAUUUUCUAAUUUCUUCCAAACAAGUUAUAGUUUUUCUUAAACAUUUCUCUCUCUUUCCCCUCAAAUACAAGUUCUAAUUCGAGUUUGAUUUCUAGUCGUAUUUUUUGUAUGUGAACUGCAACGAUGUUGUGUAGCUUUCGGGAAAGCUUUAGAAGAAAAAGUUCCAAAUGUUUUCUUGGAGGAUGGUAAUAGUGCUGUAGAGAAACUUAUGAUAAUUGUCUCAUGUAUUUAGUUCAGCUUUUUUUUUUCAGGUCAAAGUAUUUAGUUCAGCUUUAUUUGUAGCUUUUGUGCAAGUUGUAGGUUGUUCAGUAUAUAAAUAUGUCAUGGACAUCUGUUUAUGGAAUUGUAUAGAUAUGCAUUUGUGCAUAAUCCAAAGAGCUACUUCUAUGUAUUUCCACAUAAACCUGGUCCAUUUGUUGAAUUGCUUUCUAUUUAUUUUUUAACAUCGUUGAUGUCUCUAACAUAAGUCUGAAGCUGAGCAUGGCUCGCUGAAGAUAACUGACUGAUAUGUGAUACUUGAUGAUGCUUGAUUUUCAAUCUUUCACGUCACUUAUGUACUUUUCCACGAUGACUCUCUUAUUGCAAUCAUUAAUUUCUUUUUUCUUUUACCAGUGGACCGUGCAAAUUGAGCCAAAUUUUCAUGAAGAUGCGAACAAUCUAGAAGACCUGGUUCCCUUUGAGGAGUGUAUUGAGUUACACUCCACAGAGAAGGCUGUCGUAAGGGCUCCGGAGUAUCUAUUGCUUACUCACAACGGCCGUAGCUUCAAGUCAGUAAGCAUUAGUUUGUUAAAUCCUCUAUGAAAUCGCUCUGAGUACAUCGAAAGUUUCAAAACUCCAAUUAUUAUGCCUAAUUAAUUGAUGCUUUGAGAGCAGUUGCUGAUAUUCUCACUAGAACUCUGUCAAUUGAUUUGAAUAAUCGAGAAGGUAUACAAUAAACUUAGAUGUGGUAUGCAUACUGAACACUGAUGAACCUAAUGUAAAAGUUUCAUGGUAACUCUUAUAAGUAAGUGAAUAGUAGGCUAUAUUUUCUUCAAGGAAUUGCCUCUGUUUCCUUUUCCUCAUUCUUUUUGUAGAUAUGUUUAUAUCUAGAUUGAGUUGACUGGUUGUGCUCUCCAAAUCUAACAGACCUAUAAGUAGAUCGUGAAACUAGUCUUGCUCUAUCAUUAAUGCUUUGUUUGGGAGAGAGGAAAAGAGGAACAGAGGAGUAUGGCAAAGAAAAACAUAUUAGGAACAUGCUAGCCUUUCCUUGCUUGUGACUGGGAAAGUUUUUUAACCUUCAGCCCUGAUAUACUUAUCUCUAAAUACAAAGGGUUUUGCUUCUUCCUCUUCUUCUUCUUCUCCUUCUCCUUUUUUUUUUUUUUUUUUGUGGGGGGGGGGAGGGAGAAAAAAAGAGGCGGGGGAAAAGAAAAUGGGUGGUGAGUAUAUUUCCAUUUCCUUUGAGUCAAGGAUGGCCAGCUCAAAGCUGAGUAGAUUUUAUAGUUUGCUCAAGCUUGUGUAGGAGGUGAGUUUAAUACAAUAUCCAAUCAUCUGCACCAUAACUCUGCAAGUAGGUUAUUAUAGAAUUGGGAAAAAAACUACUAGCUAAUUUUGUAUCAUAGUGGAAGCUACAAUAAUCUAGAGCUGCUUUUUCUUUUUCAGCAUUGUUGUGGAUCCCAGCAAUCUUUCUAGUGGACUUCAUUAUUAUGAAGUGUAUGGGGUUGAUUGCAAAUCGCCAUGGCGUGGUCCUCUUUUCAGAAUACCAGUUACUAUAACAAAGCCUGCUGUCGUAGUGAGCCAGCCUCCUGUAGUCUCAUAUUCAAAGAUGUCAUUUCAGCCAGGUUAUACAUAGUCUUCAUUCAAACAUCAAUCUGUAUUCAUAUACAUCAGUACUUACACGAUUUUUGAAGAAAAUGAGGGCUAGGUUUUUCUUUUCCAGUUUAAAUAGCGAAAUGUUUGGUGUAUGUUUGAGAAACUUGGUCAUGUCUUUCUGAAACUGUGCAUGGCUACUUGAUUACGAUAAACAGUGUGUUAGACAAAGCAAUGGAGUAAUGAUGUGUAUUAUGGAUUUAACCUUGAUUCCCUAUGCCAAAUUGGUGGCUAAUGUACAGUCUUCAUUGCUUUCUUCACUUACCUGAGAGAUCUAGUUGACUUUCAUAAACUAUGUUUGUACAUGACAUCAUUAGAUUGCUUGAGGCAUUGAAGAUGCUGUAGUCUGACACAAGUGACCCACGGAAAUUGAAAAGCAGAGUCAUGUGCUACAAAGAAGGAAAAAGAUAGCAUUCUUUUCCAAUCUUUGUCAGUCUUAAAUGCUACUUAACGGGGAAUUCUAUUUCUUUUGUUUGAUGCUUUAUGCUUUAAUAGGUCACAUUGAACGGAGAUACAUCGAGGUGCCAUUUGGUGCUACUUGGGUUGAGGCUACCAUGCGAACAUCUGAGUUUGACACAACCCGGAGAUUCUUUGUUGACACAGUUCAGGUACAACAUUCGCUGAGUACUUUAUUCACCAGAUUAUAAAGAACUGCUUUGACUCUUUUUCAAUGCACAGCUUUGUCCCUUGCAAAGGCCCAUCAAAUGGGAGAGCGCGGUAAUGUUUUCUUCUCCAGCUGCCAAAAGCUUUGCCUUCCCUGUGGUUGGUGGUCACACGAUGGAAUUAGCAGUAGCUCAGAUUUGGUCAAGUGGAAUUGGGAGCAAUGAAGCUACUUCAGUGGAUUUUGAGGUAGCAUAUGUAUUUCAAUGUAAUAUUGUGAUUUUUCAUCUGCUUGUGUUGAUUUUUAUACAUCAAUUGACAUUCAAAUAUGAGCUCUUGUUGGACUCAUACAAGAGGUAUACGCAUCUGUGUGGUGUUUUCUGUCAAUUUCUAGAUGGCAUUACUCUGAUGCAUCAAACAUUAUAUGUUCUAGGCUUUAAUUGACUUUCAGAAUCCAGAUAAACCUUUUCCUUUGUCUCCUUCCUUUGGUUUGUCAAGAAUAGAGAGUUCCAUUUGUAGGCUUGAUUACCCUCUUAAUAUGGUAGGAGUUCACACUUUAAAGGUAGUACCGAUCUUAUUAUUAUUCUCUCUUUUCCUUUUUUGUUCUCUUCCAAUUUGGGGUUCGGAAUGGGGAUUGGGCCAACUCCAUUUACUGGAUGGCCUGUGAUGGGAAAGCUUGUCAACAGUUCACUGUCGCAAAUUGGUGCUACUAAAGAUGUGUGGUCAAUGUAAAGGAUUGAAAUUCUGGUAGAACUAUGUUAUGAACUUUUGCAUCAAAAAAGUACCUUAUGGAUACUCUUACAUGGACCAUGUUCAUUCCAAGAUCGUGUUCCAUGGGAUUGACAUCAACAAAGAGGAAGUGAUUCUCGAUGGUAGUGAGGCACCAGUUAGAAUAGAUGCUGAGGCUCUGCUUGUGUUGGAGGAACUUGCUCCUGUUGCCAUCCUCAAUAAGGUAAAGCACAUUAUGCUUAUUCCAGAAUCAUAAGCAAGUGUUUCUGAAUUGAGUUUUCUUUAUCUGCUGUCUAUGCAGAUGAGGGUUCCAUAUCGACCUGUUGAGGCAAAGCUUCGUGCUCUCCUAUCAGCGAGAGACAAACUACCCUCAGGGAAACAGAUAUUGGCUCUGACAUUGACGUGAGUGGAGCUUCAGAAUUUGCUGUCAAGCUUAACUCACUGAACUGUUUUUUUGAGUUGAUCAUCUGAAAUUUCUGAUGCAGGUAUAAAUUCAAAUUAGAAGAUGGAGCAGAACUAAUACCUUAUAUUCCUUUACUCAACAAUCGAAUGUAUGAUACCAAGUUCGAGUCGCAGUUCUAUAUGAUAUGGGAUGUGAACAAGGUACUGUAUCACUUGAUUUUUCCUUCCUUAUAUGGUGUGGUAUCCUUUCAAUGUAAACAAUAUUGAUGGCACUCAACCAUUUCUGAGCCACCAUAAAUAAAUGGGUAUAGAUUUACUAUAUCUCAAAAGCGAAACAAAAUCCACACUUUGCAAUGCUGUAGGGAGCAUUAUAUUGUUCUAGCAUGACUUUGCAACUUCACUAACUUAUAGGUUGGGUUUCACAUUUCGCGUUCAAUCAUUUUGGUGGGGUGAAAAAUUAUAUUUCCAGUUUGUAUCAGGACAUAUGCUGCUCUCAACAUCUUUUUUGUUUCCUUUGUAGCGUGUACAUGCCUUGGGAGAUGUCUACCCAAAAUCUUCAAAGCUGCCCAAGGGUGAAUACACUUUACAGCUGUAUCUAAGGUGCAGUUUAUUUCUUGGGUUGAAACUGCACCAUGCAUCUCCCCCCCUCGACCCCCCCCCCCCCCCCCCCAAAGAAAAAAAAAAAAAAAAAACUUCGCAUUGCAUGCACAGAUGCACACACGCUUUAGAUUAACAUGGUCACACGUUAUGUUGAAUAUAAAGACUUUAUUUGCUACCAAUUUAGAUUCUUUUAUAAUCUUUUGUAUUGCGUGAAAUGAAGCAUCGUGGAAUGGAAAAGAUGCUGCAAAAAUUGUGGAAAGUUAAGUUAUGACCUGUCAUCUACGUCUUGGGACAUAUAGAUUGUUGUGAAAAGAAAUGCUUAGCCUUAAUAAAAAUCAAAUAGUUUCAUGCUAUACCAAAGAUGAUUAGAUAAAUAAUUUCUAUGCUCAUAGUACUUUUAUCUUUCAGGCAUGAUGAUGUGCAAUAUUUGGAAAAAAUGAAGCACUUGGUGCUGUUUAUGGAGAGAAAUCUAGAGGAAAAGGUAUCAUCCUUGUCCAACUAGUGAAUUAGACCUGCUUUUUGUGUGGAAAAGAUUUUAUCAAAAAAAAUUGAGGAUAUAUGAUUGUAAGCGGCCAAAUUUACAUAGAUAUCAUGCGAAUAUGAUUAAAGAAUCACAUGUUUUAGAUGACCUGAGAUCCUUAUAGUAUUUUUAGUAAAAUGAGUUACAUCAGUGAUGUUUGGGUUAACGUAAAUUGAACUUCUACUUUAUUCAUUUAUGAGCAAGAUUAUAUUUCAUAUUAGGGGCGGGCAAUACCGAACUGGCCGGUUUUGGGCGAUUCCCGGGGCCGGUCCCGUCCUCAGUUCCAUAAAAAUAGAGCAGGUGAUUUUCGGUCCAGUUCCCUGUUUUAGGGGUGGAACCACUUGGACCGGACCCAUUUCUUUUCCCCCUUAAAAAUCUUCAAAGAAUAGCAGCCUCUCAUGCUCGCUCUUCCCUCUCGGCUCUCAUGCCUCUUUCCCUCUGUCCAUGGUGGACGACGGCAUCCUCUAGGGUCUGGAGGAGUAGGGCCUUCUCGACGAGCUCGGUGUAGUGGAAGUCGAGUCGAGGAGGGUGAUGAGGAUGGAGUUGGAGCUGAUCUGACCCCUUGUGGAGUUGCAGGGGGCCGGUGGGGCAAUGCGGAGGAGAGAGGAGGGAGGAGACACCACAGACGUGAGGAUCCAUGAGGGCUCGAGAGCGAGCUCGGAGCGAAUUGGAGGUGUCUUUGUUGUCUCUCUAAAAUGGAGUGGAAGGAGGAGGGGAAGGGAGUUUGCGUGUAGAGAGAGAGAGAGAACAAAAGUAAGGGCCUGUUUGGCAAUUUGCCCAACAGUGCCAGAUUCUGAUUUUUUGUUCCCAGAAUCAGUUUGGGACGAGAAUCGCGUUUGGUAAAUUUUUUGUUCUCGGGAACAAAUUUGUUCCCGGGAACAAUUUUGGACAAGAUUUGAGAAUAAAAAAAAAUUUGAUUCUCGUCCGAGAAUCAGAAAAAAGAAUCAAAACGGUAAAACCUUGUUCUUCUCUUUUAUCAUCUCGGUUGCCAUUCGCCAUCGCCCGCCGCCGUCCAUCGCCCGCCUGCCGCCGCCCGCCGCCGCCUGCCGCCGCCCGCCGCCGCCGCCGGUCGCCGGUCCGGCGAGAUCGCCGGAGGCUCGCCAGGCCAGGGCGAGGUCCGGCGAGCUCGCCGGAGCCUCGCCCAGCUGCCAGCGAGGCUCGGCCGACGAAGGCCGACCUCGCCGAGGGCUGGCGGCGCUCCGGUGAGCGUCGCUGGCCCUCGUCUGGCCGGUCGCCGGUCCGGCGACCGGCCAAAUGAAGAAGAAGAAGAAUAGGAAAAAAGGAAAAAAAAAAAGAAAAAAGUAAAAAAGUAAAGAAAUUAUUUAAAAUUUAUUUAAAAAUCAAAAGAAAUUAUUUAAAUUUUAUUUAAAAAUCAAAAGAAAUUAAUUUGGAACAGAAUCAAUUAAUACGGUACCAAACGCAAUUCUAUUACAGAAUAAAAAAUUUUGAACAGUUACCAAACACGUGUUUUUACUCAGAAUCAGUUCCCGGGAACAGAAUAAAAAAGAAUCAGUUUUUAUCAGAAUCAGCUCCCGGGAACAGAAUCGUUACCAAACGCGCCCUAAAUGCCUUUAAUGCGAUAGAGACUUGUUAGCAAGUAAAAUAAAUGUGAUAGAGAGAGAUAUCAGACAGCCUGGAAGUGGGACCAUGCUGCUCUCUCUGUUUUUUUUGGUCAGACACACCCCUCUCUUUAGUCUUUAAAGAUUUGACCGGUUCCAUGGACCGGAACCGGAACCGGAACCAGAAUCAGACCGAGCCAUCAAUCCAGUUCGGUUUCCGGUCCUAAGACCAAUCGGUCCAGUUCCCAAUUCCACCUUGGAACCGGACCAAACCGGAACCGAUCACCCCUAUUUCAGAUUAGGUCGUGAUUGUGUCAUGACAUGUCAGAAAUUAUUGCUCUUAGGACCGAGAACCAAUCACUCCUAUUUUAGAUCAGGUAGUGAUUGUGUCAUGACAUGUCAGAAAUUACUGCCCUAGCACCCUAUAAAAGUUAAAGAUUGGUGCAUAGAUUUAGAUGCUCCUCUUUUUAUAUUCAAAUGAUAAGUCUAAACUCAAAUGAUAGCCAGUAAUUCACUGCCAAUAAUUGUUUGCCAAAGUACAUGCUAGUUGUUUGUUUGGCACCAUUGCCACCAUCCUCUUUAGGUGUUCUCUUUUUAGAAUAAGCAAUCUAACGACCCAAUGAUGUUGAAGAAGCUCUAUGGUUUUUAACCUCAUUAUUUAUGUUUUCAAUUUCCUUGAGUCCAGGAUGUCAUGCGACUGAAUUUUUUCUCUCAACCUGAUGGCCCAGUAAUGGGAAAUGGCUCGUAUAACUCAUCAGUUUUGAUCCCUGGGUAGGUUUAGUUCGUCAUGGAUAUGUAUCGCUGUUCUGUCUCCUCCUACCACAGCCUUUGAUAUGUAUAUUGUUAUGUAGGAAGAAGGAAGCCAUCUAUUUGGGCCCACCGACCAAGGACAAGCUCCCAAAGGUAUUCCAUUCUGGUGCUUCUUCUUCAAUUAAUGUUUCUUAAUACUUUGUCAUCGAACUAUUGCAGAAUUCUCAACCUGGGUCUGUGUUGGUCGGAGCAAUAUCUUACGGAAAGGUAUCGAAUGCUGGUCAAGAUAUUGGAAAGAGUCCAUCAAAGAACCCUGCAUCCUACCAAAUCUCUUACAUAGUGCCACCCAAUAAGGUUGCUCGAGACCAUUCCAACUUUUCUUUCUUUUUCGAUGCUUUUACUGAAGGUUAAUUUUUAAUUUUCUCUGCAUUUGGAAGGUUGAAGAAGAGAAGGGGAAAGUUUCUUCAUCGAGGUGCACUAAAUCUGUCUCCGAACGCCUACAAGAAGAGGUACUUGGUGAUUGUGCUAUUGUGGUUAUUUUUCUUGGAGAGAACUUUCGCUUAUGUAUAAAUUCCAUAGAUACCUUCAGGAAGCACUUGCAGUGUCAUGCCCGGAUAACUUCUUGUGCUUGCAAAACCAGAGACCUGUUCUACAUAUAUGCAUAUUUAAACUGUUACAUAUAUACGAGCAUCUAUCCGGUAUAAUAUUAGAUCUGUGCCUAUAAUUUAGAGCCAAAUGCUGAUUUUUAUGGACAUAUAUCCACCUACACUGGGUUUCAGAGGCAAAAUUGAUGCUGGCAUCUUUUUCUAUCAGCUGUCAACAAAAAAUCUAUGGGAAUUCAUCUGGCCUUAGUAUUAUUUGUAUUUGAUUCAUGUAUUUGACUUUCUUAUGGGCCAUUACCUUUCUUAAUAUCAUGCUAGAAAUAUCAAGGAUUUCCUGCAGCAUAUGCCAUUCAUUUGACAAGAAACGGAAGGGAAUGUAAAAAAAAUUUGAGCAUCAAUAAGGCUUGGUUUGCUGUUGCCAAAAAUACCUACUACAACUGGCAUUUUUUGAGAGAAGGAUAGUUUGGGGUACAUUUCCACAGGAAAGAGACUAUAUCAAGGGUAUAAUGUUAUGGGUUCCAGUAGGAAAGCGAAAGAGCUCUUAUAAUCUCUCACUAAAUUCAAAGUCAUGCUUGUGCCAAUUUAAAUAAUUUCCAGUGGAUUUCACAAACGUCACAGAGUCACAGAAAUAUGACAUGCUGGUGUCAUUUAGCAGAGUUUCUUUUUAAAAUACCAGGCUCUUUUGUUCUAACUAGUAAGAGACCCCAGCAACUCUUUAUUUUUGGGUAAAAACUUCUUCUUUGAAAGUAUUGAAACAUUAAAUUUAUUUUAUCGUGAUACCCAGGUGAUAGAAUCAAUUCAUUGGUUUUGCUUAUUUAUUGUGCAACAUCUUUUUUGUUUUUUGGGGUCAUAAAUGGUGAAAUUGAAAGCCACCAUAUAACUGGACAUGUUCAAUUCUUUAGUUUUCUAAUCAUAUAGAUCUGAUAAUGAAAUGUACACAAACAAUAAAAUGUUCUUUCAUGGAAAAUUUGCCUUAUGAUGUCUCAAUGGGCAUGUGGCUUUUAACAUGACCUAUGAUGUCUUUAUUUUAAGGGAAUAUGCGUUACAUGAAUAAUCAUUAUAUUAGACAAUAGAUUGAUGAAUGAUGGUCAUAUGGGUAAUGAAUAACCAGAAAAUGCAUCCGCUACUCAUAUAUUCUUUAGUUUGUCGUUCUGAUCUAGGACGCAGACUUCAGUUUGAGUAUCUGGUUUUUCAUAGUCUAUUGGAUGCUUCUUCACAAUGUGUUUUGUUAUCAAUCAGGUUCGAGAUACAAAGAUAAAGUUUCUGGGAACUCUGAAACAUGGGAAUGAUGAAGAGAAGUUGGAGUGGAAGAACUUAGUUACUCAACUGAAGGUGAUUUUCUUUACUCAACCAAAGUACAUCUUUUACUGUGGUUGCAUAAUUGCCUCCGAGAUAGCUCUCUUACAACAUGUUGCAGGAUGUAUAUGAUGGCAUCGAUUUGCUCCUCAUUUAUGCAAUGACAUGGACCAGUAUUUUGCAAAAAUUUAAAUUAAGAAUGCUAUCACAUCUGACAAAAAAAAAAAGUGCGCUAACUUUGCAUAAACAAACAAAAAGCCAUGUUUAGUAGUAAUGUGAAGUAAUAACUGGAGCGAAAAGCACAGUCUGAAGUACACUGUUUUCGGUCUUAUCUUUAUGUAAGAUCAUAUAUGGUUCUUUACAUUAAUUUCUUGUGGCAUGUCCUUUGGCAGUCGGAGUACCCAAAACACACACCACUGCUUGCCAGGAUCUUGGAAUAUUUACUCUCUCAGAGUGAUGUGAAGGACAAAAUCCACCACAAUAGGAAGGUAAUUAGCAUUUGAUCUCUAAGUUUGUCUUUAUAAAUAAAUUGGAUGGGGUAAUAUUUGGGUCAGUGUUAUAUAUUGGAUAUCUUGCUGAAAGAUAUUCCUUAUAAAAGCAAUGUUAUAUCCAUAUGCUGCUGUCUCUUGAAAACACAAUAGUAUAUUCUUUCCAAUGACAAGUUUUCUUAGUUAGAGAAUUUGAACAACUGCAACUCCAAGGGAACAAUGUGAUGAUACUUGAGCGUGAAGAUUUCCUAGCCUCAAUAACUACUCUUUGUACUUUUCCAUUUGUCCUUUUCUAGAAAAGUAUUUUACUUAAAUUUAUGUGAACUUAUGCAGGCCCAUAGGAAAUAGCGACUCAACAUCUUUAUGGAUAGAAUAUUUAAUUAUUAAACCAUGCCUUAAUUUAACAGCUUAAGCUUUUAAAACAGUUGAUAAUGGUAAUGGUCCCAUUAAAUCUCACAUGGUAUGAGAGCCCAGGUUGCUGACAAGUCUGGUGCAAUAAUCAGACGAUAGAGUUGCAGGUGAUUGCGCCUCCAACCUAGGCUUGAUGUGUGAAGGGGAGAUUGUUGAGAUUUUUCCUACAUUGUUGUGGAGAGGGCUGAUGAUUGAUUUAUAAGUGUGAGAGAAAGUCUUAUCUUUUGAGCUAGCUUUUGGGGUAAGAGGCUCAAGAUCACCCAACAUUACCGCGCUCUCCCAUUUGAUGGGCCUUUGCUGACCCUAAGCUCAAAUCUUUGGUAUCAAGAUCACCUAACAUUAGUAUCAAAGCAGGAGAUCCUAAGUUCAAAUCUUUCCUAACCCUAUUUGCCUCUCUAAUUAAAUAAUUCCACACUUAGUACUAGGCAAAAAAGACUAGACUAAGCGUGAGGAGAAGUGAUAGAAUUUUUAAAUAUUAACCAUGCUUUCAUCUAACAUUUUAAGCUUUUAGAACAGUUGAUAAUGGUCCCACCAAUUCUCACAGUUAUCACCAUCCAUUUAGGAAUUUUAAGCCCUUGACCUAUCAUAAAUGGCUCGUUUUCUACUCAAGAAUACAAAAGCAGAUAUCUACAUAGUUACCGCUGUCCAUGAAUUUACCUAUUAUUGUGUCGCUUUAUGUUAUACUUAAAUUAUGCGAACUUAUGCAGGCCCAUAGGAAAUAGCCCCUCAACAUCUUUAUCACCGUCCAUUUAGGGAUUUUAAGACAUUGACCUAUCAUAAAUGGCUCAUUUUCUACUCAAGAAUACAAAAGCAGACCUCUACAUACUUACCACUGUCCAUGAAUCUAACUAUUAUUGUGUCACUUUAUGUUAUACUUCAAUUAUGUGAACUUAUGCAGGCCCACAGUAAACAGCUACUCAACAUCUUUAUCACCAUCCAUUUAGGGAUUUUAAGCCCUUGACCAUCAUAAAUGGUUCAUUUUCUACUCAAGAAUACAAAAGCAGACAUCUACAUAGUUACCGCUGUCCAUGAGCUUAACCAUGAUUGUGUCACUUUAUGUUAUUGUGACUGAGCCUGCAGAACAUAGAAUGUGAAAGAUACUGGGUGUGGCUUUUAGUCUUUUCUCAUUUUUUAUUUUUUAUUUUUUGUGGUUUUUGGCCAUGGGUUGCUUUUAGUUCUCUUUUGGUCACUCAAGUCCUGUUAGAAAUCUUACCAUCUUGCAGGAUUAGGGUGAGCGAGUGGGCUUUCCAUUCCCUUUCCUUUCUACUUGAUUUUCUAGAAGAAUUUGAGGACUUUGGACAGCUUAUAUUUUUUCUCAAAAGGAUUGGGCCAUACCUUGAGAUGCAUCAUUCCAAAGCCUUUCUUGAAGAGUUCUGAUAUUUUCUGUCAAAAUUUCUUCGUAAAAGGCUAAUUGAUAACUGAGCAAGCAUUAAUACAUUCCUGGACAAGAUAAAGGCAGUUUCUACUUGUCAAAAAAACUAAGCCAGUUUCAGACGGGCAAACUGGAAACUGAAGGACUUAUUCAAAACUUUCUAACCAAGGGGCCAACACCUUCCCAAAACUAAUUGGUGCCUCAUUUCCGCACAUCAAACUCUGAUGGGAAAUCCCCAUAUAAACUGGGUAAAUCUGGAAGUCCAGUCAGUAGGAUUUCUUCGAGCACCAUUUUGUGCUUUAUGUCCGGUUUUCCUUAACUGACCAUGCUGUAAGUUAUAUUUUUGUUUUUAAAAGAAUACAAAGAGAGGAGUGAGUUUACUUACUGUAUAUUUGUUUUAUGGUGAUUUGCAGAUCAUUGAUGGAGCCGACGAAGUUAUCAAUAGCAUUGACAGAGAUGAGUUAGCAAAAUAUUUUGCAUUCAAAAGUGAUCCAGAGGAUGAGGAUGCAGAGGUUUGUGUCUAUCGUACCAUGCAGCCACUUCCACUAAUAACUGCUUGGAAGAAGCAUCAAGCACACCCUGAUAAGCUCUUCAUGGUUUAUUAAUUUUUUCUUGGUACACUAACAAAUUAUGAUGCUCCAAAUUCUUGUACUCAAUAUGUCAUGAAUUUCUAAUUCUGAAGCAUGUGAUAUUUCCAUCUACUUGUUUGUUUUUGCAUAGAAUAUUAAGAAGAAGAUGGAGACUACACGUGAUCAAUUAGCAGAAGCUCUUUACCAGAAGGGGUUAGCGGUAGCAGAAAUUGAGUUCGUCAGUGUAAGGAUGACUGAAACCUGUUCCUGGACAUUAGUAGCAUGACAUACUUUUACGGCUUUAAGCUUUAGGUGGUAAUGCAGCCCUGCAGAUUAUUAAUGUGCAGUCCUAAUAUCAAAUUCUGGUUAUAUCAACAAUUUCUUAGAUAUCUGUCUCCCUAUGACCUAUGAAUUCCUAGCCUAUAUCCUUCGAUAAUGAUUCAAUAUGUGAAUUGAGAUGUAGCUGCAAAUGUGUGCUUCUUUACUUAUAAAUUUUUUGCACAAAGUGUCCAUCCCAGUCAAAAUGUGAUGCUAUUUGUGCACAGUUAACAGCUGUCAGCACUAGGGUCCCCAAUGCUGGCAUGCUGUCAAAGGUGUCACCUUUCCCCCAACGUGAAGUUACUUAUCUUCAGAAUCUAUUGAAUCCAUUAUGGUGAUUAACCAAUUAAUUCAAAAAUUAUGUAUCACUUUCUCACACGCCUUAAUUUUUGCAGCAAGAGAGGGCUUCAGCAAAAGCUACAACUGAGGGCUCUGAAGAUGUGGCUGCGAGUGGUGACGUACCUGUUCAGACGCCUCGUAUCCCACCCAAUCUCUUUGAAGAGAAUUUUGCGGAAUUGAAGAAAUGGGUUGAUGUGAAGUCCUCUAAGUACGGU